GAAAAUAAAACUUUAAAAAAUUGAGCAUCUUUGUAUUGAAUGCAUGCUUAUAUCCAACAUUCACAUCUAAGCCUAAGUAAUAUAGGCUAGAGUGCAUUGCUUUCAGUGCUUUGCUGUGGCUUUUGGUGCCUAAUUUUGAUUCAUUAAGCUCAAAUGCCCAUAAUUUUAGUAGGGCAUCUCUCUAUGUUUCAUGGCAGUCAAGAUCGUUUAUAGAAAACCUACUUGUAAUCUUAAAACAUCCUAACACUGUAAGUAGAAUUACAAGAUUUCUCUCUAUUAUUAGAUAUAAACAAGUUUAGAUUUCUUAUACUGUUUUGAUGAUGCAUAUUCGCGUGUCUGUUUCCAUUUGCCUUUCUAGCAAAAUGCAUACCGUUCUUAACAUGCUUGUACUUCUGAAACUCUGAUAUUUCUGUGAAACCUCAUAUGUACCUAUAGUUCAUUCUGAACUUCUUGAAGUAUAUGUCCUCCUUCAAAAUCGAAGAAUUCUUGGAAGUAUACUCUUUUGAAUUGUCUAGGUUUCAAAGAAAUAAUGCCACCUUUGAUUGUUGUUAUUUCAUUUCAGGGUUGGACGUUGUGACAGCGAUCGCUUCCAUCCCAACGUACAAACCAUCAGAAAGAAUUCGGCAACUAAAUGACUUGGCUGAAUUCUUCGGAGAUGAAAGAGCACAAAAAGGGCGCUCGUUAUGGAACAGGCCUCUUAAAACUGUUUAUAUCAGUGACUGUGGCGAGCUUCAAGUUACCAAGCCUUCAAUGUCACCUACUCUGCCUUGAAACAUCUAUAUAUCAAUUUAUUUAUAUAUAUAUAUAUUCAUUCUUUAGUCUCCACUCAUUUGCAUGUACAAACUCCUUGUUUGUAAUCUUGCAUUUUUAGAAAGAGAAGAACACAAACAUAUAACAUCUAUGCAUUAAACAAUUAAGAGGAACCCCAUUCCAGCAAUUCAAGGUUUUUCUUCUCCUAUACAGAGAAAGCUUCAGUCUGAACUGGGGGAAUAGGGCUGCUGAUGUUAAAUUCGACUUACACUAUAUAAUUGUAUUUGUAUGAAUCAACUUAGUUAAAUACCAAGUCUAGCAAUUCAAAGUUUUUAAUUUGUUCGUCUACCUGUUUAUAAAUAUGAUCGAAUUGAUAGUAGUUUAUAAAUCUGCUGUGAUUUGUGUAGAGCUCAUCAAACGGUUGCAUUUUUUUGGUUUAAUGAAAUGCGAUUAACGAAGAAAAUAAUCUGGGCAGGCUAGGCUUAGCUUUAAUAAUGAUAGUUGGAUUUGGGUAAAAUUUUGAGUUUAUAUUCUAGGUCAAAACUAACUCUAAGCAAAUUCCUAGAAUAUAAUGUAAAGGUUCUAUUAUUGGCUUGGGCCUAUAAAUGAAACAUCAUAUAACUUGUGAAUUCAACGAGUUGGUUUAUAAUUCAUGAAGUAAAUUAUCAUAUUUCCGCAAGAUUCAUUAAACGGUUGCAAUUUUUGUUGUUUAAUGAAAUGCAAUCAACAAAGAAAAUAAUCUGGACAGGUUUGGACAGGCUAGGUUAAGCUCGAAUAAUGAUAGUUGGAUUUAGACAAAAUUUUGAGUUCAUAUUUUGGGUUAAAGCUAAGUUUAUGCAUAUAAAAUUUUUUAAAAAUAUCUUGUCUAAACUUAAUCUGGCAUGACCUAUGAAUAGGUCUAAUAUCGGCCACAGCUUAGUGUGGAAGAUUUUCCAAUAAUUACAAAGUCAUCAAAAUUAAUUUAGUUAGAGGUCGAUUAAAAGUUUUUUAAAAUUUCGGUUGUCAAUUAAUUUAAUUUGAAAAAGGCAGUUAAUUGAAUUAUUAUAGAUUAAUUGAUAACCAAAAUUAAUAAUAUUUUAUAUACUAUAUCUAUAAGCACAAACUCAAUAUAUAAUAUAUAUAAACCCAAUAUAUAUAAUAUUUAAAGCGUGAUAUCUCUAAACCUUUGUAUGUUCCCCCUUUCCUGUAGGCCUAAGUGCCAAAGCCCAAAUGAAAUUAUAAUAAUGAAAACGCCAACCAAAUUAACAACCAGUAGACCAAGAAAUUUUAACUCAAACAUCAUUGGCUGUUCCUCCUGCGUCAUAGUAGAUCUCCCUGUCUCUUUUAUUUCACAAUUCUCCAACAACCCUGCUUUGGUGUUUUUUCUCUCUUCAUAGCUACAUCUCUCCCUCCUUUGAUCUUCUUCUUUACCAAAACUUAAACCUCUUCAAACAUGGCUUUUGAUGGUUUUGUCUCCCACCAUAGUGAACACAUGCAAACCCUUGCUUUUAACCAACCCUCUUCACCUCCCAACUUCGACCCAGCUAAAUGCAAGGCCGAGAUAAUAGGGCAUCCCAUGUACCCCCAGUUAUUGGAAGGCCACGUGGCUUGUCUACGUGUUGCCACGCCUGUUGACCAGCUCCCUAAGAUCGAUGCUCAGUUGGCUAGGUCCCAAUAUGUCUCGGCUAAGUACUCAUCAUCACCUACUGCUGGGGCUGCUCACCAUGAACUCGAUCACUUCAUGGUAACCCCUUUUUCUCUUCUUCUUUCCAGAUUUGGGUACUCACCCUUGACCCUUGGAUUCGUAGUUUUUUUUCCCCUUAUUCUUUGUUCCUUUGUUUAUGAUCUACCGACUUGUUCUGUUUUGAUUUUCUUUUUGUUGUAUUCAAGUUUUGAUGGCUAAUUAUUUGCAUUUAAGUAGAUUUUAUUUUACAGCAGUAGGCGACUGUUUAAAGGUAAAAUUUUAAUUUAACCCUGUUCAAGAAAAUUAUGGAACUCAACUGAGGGUAAUUUUCUUAUAAAACAUGUGUAUUUGAUCACUAAUGUCAUCUUUUUCAUUUGAGUAUUCUCUCUUUCUUUUUCCCUUUAAUGUAGGCAAAUUAUGUGCUAUUGCUUGGUUUCUUUAAAGACCAAUUGCAGCAACAUGUUCGUGUUCAUGCAAUGGAAGCGGUUAUGUCUUGUUGGGAUCUUGAGCAAUCACUUCAAAGUUUAACUGGUAAAUGAUUCUCUGCACUGUAAAUACUGUUUUGGAGUUGAUAGAAAAAAGUAAAAGUAACAUGUCAAUGCAUCUUUAUAUUGUGAUGUAGCUAUGUCAUCCAUAGGAGUUGGACUUAAGUCUUUGAAUUCUACAGAUAGCUUUCCUUGUUACUCUCAUUCAUAAUAAUGAAUUUGUCCUGUUUGGUAUUACUGCAUUAACUGUAGAUUGAAGUGAAAAAACUUAGAGCUAAACUAUGAAGCAUGAACAGGUGUAUCUCCAGGUGAAGGCACAGGUGCAACAAUGUCUGAUGAUGAAGAUGAAGUUGUAGAUAAUGAUCACGGUUUGUUUGAUGGAAGCUUCGAUGGGAUCGACAGCAUGGGAUUUGGCCCUCUUGUCCCAUCAGAAACUGAGAGAUCCUUAAUGGAACAUGUUAGGCAAGAACUUAAGCACGAAUUGAAACAGGUAGGAUUUCUUAAGAAGUUAAAUAGUAAACUGGCUUGAUCUGUAUUCUGCAACUAAAAAUUCGUGUCUUUUAAGGGUUACAAAGAGAAAAUUGUGGACGUUAGAGAGGAAAUUCUGCGCAAGAGAAGAGCUGGAAAGCUACCUGGUGACACCACCUCGAUUUUAAAAGCAUGGUGGCGGUCACAUUCCAAAUGGCCUUACCCAACAGUGAGUGUGAUGUAUUUCUCAGGUAGUUCUGAUCCUCAAAAUGUUUUCUUUUCAACAGUUUUCUGAUCAAGUGUUGCUUCAGGAAGAAGACAAAGCAAGAUUAGCACAGGAAACAGGAUUACAGUUGAAGCAGAUUAAUAAUUGGUUUAUAAACCAAAGAAAAAGGAAUUGGCAUAAUACCCCCUCCACUUCUCUGAAGAGCAAACGUGAGAAGUAGGCUGCUAAUGGAUGUAUGUAUAUGUGUCUUGAUGAAAAUGAGCUUUUCACUAGAACAUUUGUCGAUUUUAAUUUGGAAAAGAAGUAUGCAGGUUAAACCAGUGAUGAAGCCUUAAUGUAAGCAAAAGAAAAGCCCUCUGCAUAGCAUUAAUAUAGCUUUGCUAGAUGGUUCUGUAAUCCUUUGGCUCAUGCUUUCCUAUGUAUGUACAAGAAUGACUUCAGUAAGUCGUGGGUUUAUAAUGUAAUUAUCUACUUGGUCAUAUAUAACAUGUUUUUACCAAUUAAUUGACAUUAUUAUAUACCCAUUUCCUUGAAAUCAAAUAUGCAUCAAACAGGUUCCUAGGAUUGCAAGAAACAAAAGAAUAUUACUGUACUUAAACAUGGAUUCUACAAGAACAUAGAAUAAACGUAAAACAAUGUGCAGACAUGUUGAAUCCGUAUAAUUAUUUUACAAUCCUGAGGGGACUCGUUGCCUAUCAUGUUCAAAUGGAGCAGUAAACCUGGAAGAGAAACCACGAAGCAAAUCAUCUGCUUCUUUAUCAUCGCCUUCAUCGAAGUUGAGAGCAUAGCUACAAGGAUCAUAUUGAAACCUGUUCUUUUGAUCUUUCCGCUUAUCGCAAUAUCCACCCAUCUUUCUUAUAAAGUUCUUCCACUUUGGCCCUGCUACUUUCUCCGAGAAUUGUUUCAGUUUAUUCAGUUUGCAUUUCCACCAUUCCUCCGUGUGUUGUUCACCUCUCUGGUGCAGUAAGGUGUUGGAUUCAUUGAUGUGGUUGUAUGAUCGGCGCCGUUUGAGGCAGAAGAGAUUAAAACAACCACACCCUUUACCCCAAACUCCUUCAUCUUCAACUUCUGCUUGCAUGAAGAUUGGAUUCUCUUGAGAAUUUUUCAUGGGAAAGGAAACCAAAACAGGAAAGAAAAGAAAGGAUUUUGGAAUUUGGAAUUUGGAUUGGGAUAGGGAUAGGGAUAGGGAUAAAAAAAGGAUGAUGCUUUUUCUUAUAUGGAGAAUUUCUGGAAGAUGAAGAGAAGGAAAAGAGAAGUGGGAAGGAAAUGGUGGAAAUUAAAUAAAAUAAAUAAACAAAUAUUAAAUAGUAGGUAAGGCAAGCCUUGAGUAUGGAUGGCGGCUCAGUGCUACGCGGUAUCUUUUUUCUUAAUGUCAUCGGAAAGUGGAAAAAUCGCCUAAAUGAAAAAGUAUGGAGGAAGAAAAUGGCGGAGUCAAAAAUCGCGUGAGUAUAGAGGAACAAAAUUUAGAAUUUAUUUUAUUCAUUUUUCAAAUUUUCAAAUUUUCAAAUUCAAGUUUAAUUUAUUGAUAAUUUUUUAAAAUAAAAAAUUCUUACCGGAUAAUUAUGUAAUUAAUAAAAUAACUAUGUAAUUAAUCAAAUUUAAUUAAAAAUUUUAAUAAUAAUUAGAUCUGAUUUUUAAAAUUUAAAGAAUAUUGAAAACCUAGAAAAGUUAUUUGCAUUGAUAAGGUUAUUUUUAUUAUUUUAAAGUCACAAAAGAAAAUUUUGAAUAUCUUUAUAAUUGUAUAAUUUUAUUUUAAAAUUUGAUUUAUUUUUAGUUUUAUUAAAGAAAUUGGUGAUGAUAAACUCAUUUAAAUUUAAAUUAGUAUACAAUAUAUUAAAAAUCUUCAUGGGUUGAGUCAGGUCGAGUUUAAGUUAAACUUAAGUAUAAUAUUAAUACAUUUUAUACUUAUUUAAACUUUAAAAAUUUUGUUCAAGACUCAUAUUUAUAAAAAAAAACAAAUCCAAACCUCAUUUUAAACCAUUCAUGUUAUUUUUAAUUUUUUUUAUAUUAUUUAAAUUUUUAUAUAAUUAUCUUAAUAUAUUAUAAUUUUAUAAAUAAAAUAAUAUAUAAAAACCGAAAACCGAAAAUACAAGCAAGUAAAUUCAGCAUUGUUUGAUUGAAGAAUGAUGUAAGAUUUUACAAAUAAAAAAAAAAAAAAGGAAAACAAUCUCCACUUAUAUGGAACUGUAUUCACAGCGCAAUCAAGCUUUGUAUGAAACCAUCUAUAUAAGAAAACCAGUGGGGAUAAAGUCAGUUCCCUCGCAAACACAUAUAUGACCUAUGAGCAGAUUGUUCAAUUUCAUUUUCAGACUGAGGAUUAUGGGCUUUGUCCUUUAGGUGGUGGAAUUUUAGCAGCCAUUGACCGUAACUCGUUCACGAUCUCGGUGAAAUUUGGUCUCUCUGAUGGCUCUGAUGACCAGCAUCUCUCCAUCAAUGAUCUCCAGUCGGGAUCACAUGAUUCUGGAACCGCUGGCCGCAGUGUAUUACUCACAAUACCACCUGAAACAAUGAUGGUUGGAUAUAAACUGUGAUCCGCCAUAGCACAAAGAAAGGAACUCAUGAUUUACAUCUAUAAAUAAAGGCAAUUUACCAAUGAUAGCCCCAUAGUGCAAGUCUGCAUAUGGUUCUUCUCUAGUGAGAAGCUCCCACAUCACGAUACCGAACGAGAACACAUCAACCUAAAUUCGAGGAAAUAUCAACUCUAUUAACUAACUAUAUGUAGGGGGAAAAGAGCAUUUACAUGAUAGAGGAGGGUACUAGACUAUGUGGUAAUCACAAACCUUUUCCGACACGAGACUGUUGCUGCCAUUUAGAAGUUCUGGCGCCAUCCAUGGAAGUGUUCCGCGCACACCACCUGAUAUUAGAGUUUGACAUUUCACCUUUGAUAGCCCCAAAUCCCCAACCUGGUAACGGAAACUAGGCAUAUGAGAACCGAACAAUUGAAUGAGUUCAGCAUGAAAUUUAGAAAACAUUAAAACUAAUGUAGGACUAAAGAUAUGGAAUUGCAAAUGAAACUCGGGCCUAAGUACGAACCUUGCAUAUUGGGCGGUGAGGAUCUCGAAGAUUGACAAGUAAAUUAUCACUCUUCAAAUCAAAGUGCACUAUAUUCUUUCCAUGCAAAUACUCCAUUCCAAAGGCCACAUCCAUGGCAAUCAAAAGCCGCUUGCACUUGUCAAGGUUCCUGGCAACAGCAAGUCAUCCAAUUAUUAUUUAUAGCCAAAUAAAUGUACAACUGAAUCACAAUUGUCUAGCAUAGCAAAUAAAACUUUUAGUACCUCUCGCUCUUCUGUAAAGCAUCUCUUAAAGAACCACUAACCAUAUAUUCCGUCACUGUUGCUACAGAACCACCAGGACCAUCAAGUACAACACCAUAGAAAGCCACAACAUUGGGAUGAUGCAAGUCAGCAAGCUUAAUUGCCUCAUUCCAGAAAUCAUCAAUCUAAUCAUACGCGUUAACCACGGUACAAGUUGUUAGCCUGUGAAAUUACAAAGAUGGAACUAAUUUGAAAAAUUAGGAGCUUGCAAAGAGAAAAGGAUAGAACCAAACCAUGCGUUCUUGUUCAGAGGGUUUUCCGGCAAAACAUCUAUCAUUUAUUCGUUUAAUUGCAACAUCAGUACCCCGCCACUUCCCAUGAUAAACGGUACCAAAGGUGCCAGAACCAAGCUCCCACAGCUCUUCAAGGUCACUGUCUUUUAUAACCUGCCAAAUAAAUACAUAGCUAAUUUAAUGGGCAAUAGAAGUUAACAGUAGAAGCACAAACAUCACAUAAAGGCAGUACUUAAAGUUCAACCUGCAAGCCACCAAUGCCAUCCGAAACUCGAAGACCAAAAUUUGUUCUAUCUGGCUGUUUAGUCUUUAAUUCCUAAGUUAAGAAAAAUAGUAUGAAGGACAGCUCAAUAAAUGGAUCUGGAGAAGACAGUCACAGAUAAAAGAAGGCAAGGGGGAGGUGGGGUGAGGAAAUGAGCAUACAAAUGGAAAUCGAAAGGAUCUUAUAUUCCGCACCUCAAAUUUAGCUUUGUGUUGCAGUUUAAUGUCACUAGGUAAAACAUCUGUGUCUUGAUAGCCUUCAUUACCAGAUGCAUUGGUCUCUGCUGGAACGUCAGGAUUUGAAUGAGUAGAGGACCGGAAAACAGAAGCAGCUACUUCUUCAGCAACAGCUUGUAGUUCUUCCUUGAUGAGUUCCUCACCUGAGCCUUUGGCAAUGAAGGAAACAACAAUGAACAUUUACUCCAAACAUGAAGUGAUAAAUGCCAAAUUAUAUACAAACUAAAAAAUCAAAUAUUUCACCUUUCAUAGAUUGUGUGUGGUCUGAACUCAAAUUCUCAUUUAAAUGGCUUAAUGGCUGGUAAACUUCAUCUUCCAAUUCGAUAUUAGAUUCCCCACCAAUUACUGCCUGGUUCUCUCCAAAAGGGUCUCGGUCCUCUCGCAGAGCCAAUAAUUCUUUCUUUGUUUGAAUUUUGUUAGGUUUAGGAGGAGGAAAGUAAGCAUGUUGUUGUAGAUUCCAAGGAUCUUGAUUGCUAAAAAGUGAGUUGGAGGAAUCCAAAACAUCUCCACCUCUAUUGGAUGGUGAAAAGUAAGCUUGGCUGUUAGCAUUAGAAGGAACAGCUUCAGUGUUGCAUUGUACAAUCUUCUGCUGCAUCAAAGAAACUUCAUCGAAUCCCAAUGUAUGUGCUGACUCAACACCAGAAAAUGGAGGGUUCCCAUAUUGAACUUCAACACCAACUUUUGGACGUCCAUGUGUUACUAGAUUAUCCAAUAGCAACUCUUCCCCAGCUAUAUGUGGAGAUUUUUCAUCCAAGAUAUCUUCUUUUCUAGUUUUAUCAAUAGGUAAACUACUCUGCUCAUUGCUCAUUUGAAGAGGCUCCAUCAUCCUAUCAAUUUGGAUCAGAUGGUUAGGGUCUACGCUAUCUUUUUUAGGUACAGCAGGAACCCUUGACGUUUCGUGCACUGGCUGUUCUAAAGCAUGAAUGCCAAUUGCCUCAACAUGUGGAACCUCCUUUUGGAACUGGUAUUGAGUUGGCAAAACAUAUGGUGAUUGAAAUUCACUUGCCAAACCCAUCAAACCUAGGCUUGCUGGAAUCCUAGGGUGAUCAGAAUUAUCUGUUUUUGGGGAAAUAUUCCCUUCAUGUCCAUACGGUGCAUCAGGAUUUUGAGAGGAUCCAACUGCCUCUGACUUCAAUCCACCAACUUGAUGAUCAACAUGGCCAAGUUGUUGCACCCCAGCUUGCUGGUGAGCAAUGCCAUCCCCUAUCGGUGCGGUCACCACAACUUUAUUCACUGAUGAAAUUCUCAUUGAGUCUUCUUGAUGCAGACCAUGAUAACUAGAAUCUGCAUUCACCAUAGGUGUUGCGCCACCAUCUCUUUGGUCCUGCACCAAAGGAUCAGAAUGCACAUGAGGCAAUGCCUUUUGACACAUAAGGCAGUCCUCGAUACUGGGGAUCUUCGCUGGAGUAGUUACUUUGAUCUGCUGCAAUGAUCCAUCUGAGAAGACGACAUGCUCAGUUUGUGGAGUAUGAUGGAAAGUAUAACCUCCUGCAACCAUUGCUGAUGGAAUCUCGGCCUGAUAAAUAUUGUGGCUCUGAUAAACAGGAUGCUGAAUUAUCCUUGUUCCUAAUGCAUUUUGAUCAGGAUAAUGCUCCAAUGGAGUUUGUUGGUGUUGCAACAGCGGCUGAAACGGUGCUGGUCUAACAACAACAUGAGAGAUGGAGGGAGUCAUAGUCAUGUUAAAAGCAGGAAUGUACUGAUGAGGGGCAUUUUCUUGAGGCUGCUGUUGAUUGAACACAGAACCAGUAUUUGCCACGAACUUAGGAUUUGAGAACUCCAUUUGAGGUGCAAACUGCAUAUAUUCGGUAUGGCUUGUAACUUCAUGGCGAGGAUCAACAUGUGUAGAUGCAUAGUGUUGCUGCAGAUCAUAUCCCAAUUGCUGCUGUGUUGAAGCAAGCCGCACCGUCCUCCCAGCCUCAAACUCAAGUUGAGACGAAAGUGUUUGAGGACUGAUAUUAACUACCGGGCUUCCUAAAUGAACACCGGAAAUAGGUGAAUUCCCUCUAGGUGACAACAAGUUUGUUGAUGGAGGUCCACCAACAUCCCCUUGAACAGCACCUGAGCUAUCAACAGCUUCACUCCCACUAAUAUCAGAGUUUGGUGUUGAAGUCGCACUUGCUAUGCUCUCCUUACGUGCGAUGCCACCAGCAGCUCCAUUCACAAUUCCAUUUACUGCCUCAACAUAUUUCUGCCCAUUGUCAUGCAAAUCCCCGAAUUGAACCGUACCGGAAGGAUCAAGUUCCGAAGCCGAAAACAAAAAUACCCUUGGUUUAGCAGAUCCAUCUGAAGACCUUUCAAUCACUUUCUCAUACUCAUCCAUCAUAUUAACAAGAUCAUCGGAGCAUGAAACGGAAACUAAUGCAUCAAGGUCCUCAUCAGGAAGCUGGUACUUGAUAACCACAGGUUGCCCAUAAGUAUCCAUCAUUUUUUGCACAAACUCAGUAAAGCUCACAUCUCUUCUAACACUAAUAAUCCUUGUCUGCCCCCCUACAUAUCUCAACACCCCAUCACUUGGUCUAGGCAAUAUCUUCCCCCCAAAACUACACAAAAACUUAACCUUUUUCCCAGACACAGAAUCAUCCCCACCCUCAUCAUUAACCUGAUCAGCACCAUUGCCAUUACUUACAACUCCUGAAUUUGAUUUAUAACCAACCCCACCUAUUAAUUCAUUCCCAUUACCACUAACCUUGUUUCCCAUAUUACAACUAUGAGCUAAGCCUACAGUCACCCUAUCGUGACUCAAUUGAUCACUCCUAUUCCCACUAAUCCUAUUGCCCAGACUAGGACUAUAACCAUGCCCAGCUACCACAUCAUUACUAACCUGAUGCACGGCAUUAGCAGCCACCAUAUUGCCCAAAUUCGGACUAUAACCGAACCCGCCAACCAGGUUCAUACUUGAAUUCCCAACCGGCACAGGCAUAGGCAUGUGAGGUCUCCAUGCAGGGACACCCGGUGUCAAGGGCACUACAUUCCCAUAUCCUAAACUUGCAAAACCGGCAUCAGUCACCGUUGCUGGAUAAAGAACACGCAUGGCACCACCAUAAGUCUCAAGCUCCCGAGGCGAGUUGGGAAGAAACCCGUCAAUGCUUGCACCGCGGGUAUUAUUAGUGGCAGCCACCGCAUCCGCAAUUUGGGGCUCUUCAGUUACAAUUCUAGCUACAUUCAAUGGUCUAAGAUCUUCUUGUAUUGAAUUUUGAUCAAAUGCCAUAAUCUAUAAUACAGGGUUCAGCUGAAAUAUAGUCUAAAUCAAGUUUAGAGAAAAAAAAAGGGGGGGUAAUUCCCAAAGGCAAGAAACAGAGCUAAAAACGAUUCCUAAAACCAAGAAAAUUUAAUAAGAAGAGAUGUGAGCAGAGAGGGAGAAACAGUGAGUCGGUGGUGGAGCUGGGCCACCUUUGAUCCAUGGCUUUCUUUUGAGAUUCGAUGAAUCUCGUCUUUCAAACACACUUUUUGUCAGUUUGUCUCCCUGUUAUUUCUAUCCCCCUAUCUCCGGAACUUUGCUCUUUUGGUUUUCUUUUUUCCAUUUAUGGGUGGUGGGUGAUAAUUUUGUUGAGUGGAUAGAAAAUGACAGUGACUUCCAUAUGUAAUUUUCUUUUCUUAAGUUGCAAGGAAUUAAUGGGGGACAAGUAAAUGAGAAAAGAUGAAGGGUGGCGGCACGUGGAUGGUUUCAUGCAAAGUUUCAGUCAAAAUCUAAUGAGUAUGUUGUUUUUUUCUUUUCGAUUUAUAAGGAACUAAUAUUAAUAUUGUGUUCAGCAUUAUAAAAUAUAAAAAACGUUAUUUAUAUUCUAAAAUUGAAAAAUAUGUCCAACUUCAACUUGAGAUAAAAUAAUAAAUAUACAAAAAUUAAUUAAUAAACUGCAGUCAGCAGAAUUUUCAACCGUUAAUUAUGGUAUGGGCAGUUAUAUAUAUGUGGAGGGUUGUUAGUGGAACAUCUUUUAGGCAUUAUUAUUUUAUGAAGUUAGGUAUUAUUUGAAAGAUUUGUUAUCUACUGAACUUUCUCAACAAUUGACACAGCAAAGUAAAACCAUUAAAGUAAGAAGAGAACAAUCUCGGAAUUUGCACCCAAAAGUUGCAGGGGAAAUUUUCAAUCCUCAAAACCUCGUUUUCCGUGGUGAAAUCCCGUUUGUUGUAUCUUCUCAAACAAUAACAACAAAGGCUAAGUCAUAAAUAAAUACAAUGAUGACAAUCUGUAUGCAACUUGCACUCCCAAUAGGAUAAGCUUGCUUGACUUUUUUGGUAAAAUAAAAAAUCUAAUCCAAUCCUCUUUAUCUUGGAAGUAAAUUUAGUGAUCUUCGUAUGUACCGAUAGUACUGGAGAAAUAUUGCUCUUGUCAUCUCUUAGAAGGUUUUUUUUUUUUUUUAAUACUUGUUAAUGUCUACUUGGAAGGAAGAUGGGUUAAUGUCUACUUUACACCUAUAAGAUAAAAGAAAUACUAAGAUUAUAGGAUGUAACACUUUUGCUUUAGGAUAUUUUUUAAUACUUAAAGUCAAUAAAUAGAAGGUGAUCCAAGAGUAAAGUAAUGUAGUAAUAGUAGUAAUCACACCUCUGGAGAUUAAUAUAUAUGAGUAUUUAUAGCGAGAUCCCUUGGUGACCUAAGGUUGAUGGGAAUAUGAGAGCGCGUGAAGGGUAAAUCGUUUUGUGCUUGUAAUUAGCUAGGGUUAGUGUCCUUGAUCUAGCAAGGUUGUAUCUCUAAGCCCUUUAUUGAUCUUGCCCUUUAACCUAUGACAGAUACUACUAUUAGGUUGAUAUUUACUUUGAUGCAUGCAUGUUAUGCAUUAGUUGGUUGUUUUACUAAGGUUUGGUCUUUUGGGGCUUACUAAUUUCGUUGAGUUUGGAACAUAUUCUCUUGGGUACAAAUCUUAUUUCCUUGGGAUGGUAUGACUCAAUCUAUUUGACUAGUCGCACUAUACAUCAACCAAGUUAUAAAGUGACUUGGUGAGGAUUUGCUAUAAGUGGAUAGAAGACUCCUUCCAAUAGUGUCAUAUUGUUGGUGUCCCUUGAAAAGGUUUAAAUUCCCUAGUUGCUUGUAUUCUUUGAAAAGUUAAGCUUUUAUUGAUUUAGUGAGAAAAGAGUCUAGAUAGCUAAUUUGUUUGAAAAUUAAGUGAGAUAACUUGUGGAGUUAUAUCUCGCAUUUUUUCAGCUUUUCUUCUCCUAGUUAAAUUUGUUUUUAGUUUCCCACUUAAACUCUAAUUAGUGUAGGUUAUUUUAAUAUUAGUUUCUCACUUAAACUCUGAUUAGAGGUAUUUUUUCUACCUUACACAUUUAGGUAUUAAUUUGUUAUGUUUAUGUUUAAAGGGUUGUUAUUUCGAAUUUGGGGUUUAGUUUUAUCUCCAUCUUUAUACUCUUCGUUUUUGUUGUUUUAAUAAAAUUAUUUUUGCCUGUGGUUUUUUAUCGUUUUCGGAUGGGGUUUUUUCAUGUAAAAUAUUUGUAUUCGAUAUUUUCAAUUUCUUUGUUAUUUUACUUAUUUGUUGCUUAAUCGAGUUUAUCCAACAAAGUAGUACCAGAGCUCGUUCAAUUUUCACAAUCAACCUGUUCAGAGAUGGCAACAACAAGGUUUGAUAUUGAUAAGUUCGAUGGUAUCACAAAUUUUAAUAUGUGACAAGUUCGAAUGACAAAAAAUUGGUUCAGAGAGAUCUUGAGAAGGUCCUUACAGAGAAGAAACCUACAAACAUGAAUAAAUCAUGUCUAACAAAUAAAUGUAUUGCAAGAGAUUUUAAUAGACAAAACGGCAUUCUACUUAUGGAAAAUGUUAGAAACUCUCUACGUGACAAAGUGUUUGGCUAACCAAUUGGUGUUGAAACAACGUUUAUACACGUUUUGUAUGGACGAAAGUGAGCACCUUAAAGGUCACAUCAGUCAAUUUAUUACUCUUUUGAAUGAUUUAAAAAAAUGUUGAGGUUCAGAUUGACGAUGAAGAUCGGGCUAUGCUAUUAUUAUGCUCUUACCCUCUUCGUACAAGUCUUUCAAGGAGACCUUGAUUUAUGGCAAAAUAAUCUAUCAUUCGAGGAUUUGAAGGGUCAUCUAUUGAGUAAAAACAAACUCAACAAUAAGUUUUGUUCGAAUAGCAAGUCAGAUAGCCAAACCUCGAUUUUGUAAAAAGUUAAAUCACGUCAAGGCAGAUUGUUACAUACUGCAAAAUAAAAGGGCUGCGAUAUUUAUUGGAUAUAAAAAGGGGGAGAAAUACCUAAACUCAAGGGGAGUGUGGAUAAAAAGAGAAGAAAUCGCCAAAGUCUUCAAGCAUCGAGGAUGGAUGGAAAUCAUUGGGAAGACUUAAUUUCUCCAUCUAUUUUUUUUUCUUGUUUCUUUUUCUAUGAUUAGUUUAUUGUUUUUAUUUUAAGAUUGUUUUUCAAUUUUUUGAUGAACUAAGUUUUCAUUUCUAGAAUUGCAAUGGAUUCAAUGUUUAGUUAAUUGAAUUUUUUUUCUAUUUCUAUCCUUUUUUUUAAUAGAGAAUUGAUUAUUUACUCAUUUUUGUUCUUUAUUGAUAAUAGUUUGAUCAAUUAUUAAUUUGAUAAAACUUAAAGAAAUUGGAAAAGGACUUUUCAUUUUAGGUCUAGAAUAAAUAACUCUUUUUCUAUAUUAAAUGGUCAAUUUUUUAUUCCUAAUAGCCAUAACUGAGAUUUGUUCUUAAUCAAUUUAGUCUAAAUUAUUGGCAUAUGAAUAUAUCUCGAUAAUUAGAUUUAAUUAGUUCUUUAAUUGCUUGGAAGAGAAUUAAGAGAAUUUUAGUACUUUAGGUCAGUAAUCAACUUUAUUGUGAUAAAUUGGGUGGAUAUUGAAAAAUUAGCUAAUGCAUUGAUCAAAUUAUAAUUCUAUGCUCUUAUUAUUGAUUGAUUGUUUCGUUUUAAUUUAUCUUGCUCAUUUUUAUUUGUUUGAUUUAAAUUAAAAAUCUGUAUUAUCGAUUUAUUUGGAUAGAGUAUAGAGUAAAACUCACAAUAAGUAUACUAGUGUGUGCGCUUUUUAAGAAAUGGUAGAAGUGCACAUAUGUAAACUGAUGCGUGAGUACCUAAGGUUGGGUCAUUGAAAGAUUGGCUUCUUCAGCCAAUUGAUUGGCUAAAGGAUUGAAGUUACUGAUAUGGUUGAUGGAUAUGGAGAUUGUAGGUGGGACUCAUUUACACAUUGGUUGGACCAUUCAAUAGUGAUGCACAUUGCAAUAAUGCCUUCCCCGAGAGAACAUUUAGGACUUGAUAUGUGCAUAUAGAAUCGUUCAAACUCGAGUAAAUUUAUAGUUUUUUUUAUGCAUAUAAACGGAUGACUACAGAUAUGUUGGCACCAAAAGACUCCUUUUGUCUUAAUGCUUGAAAGCUUAAGGCUCAUCAAUGAGAGACAGUUCCUAUAUGCUCAAACAAUGAGAGAUGUCCGGGCAAGUUAACAGAUGAUGCCUCUUGAAAGACUUGUAGCGCAUGUGCUAGGGACAACACGCUUUGUGGGCAGUUUAGGUGAGGAUAAUUCCCAAUGCUAUUCAACAAAGCUUCUUCACCUCUAAUUUAAACAGCUGGCUACUUGAUAACUUUGAUAAUAAUCUUGCUUUACAGUUUGAUGGUGUUGAAUGGGAAAAGAUGUUCGGAAUUACAUGUUGGUGGAUUUGGAAGCAAUGUAGUGCGGAUAUUUUUAAGGGAGAAAGUUGUAGUGCUAACAAGGUGGCGGUUUUGGGCGAUGAAUGUAGAGUAUGUCGCUCGUUUGGCCAAGGGACAUCACAUAGAUAAUACAAGCCGUAGCAAUUGCAGUCUCCCUCAUGCUGGGUGUGUUAAAUUAAAUGUUGAUGGGGCAGUAGAAUCGAAUUUUGCAGGGGCAUCUACAGGUGGAGUCAUAGACAUGUAUUGGAAUUGACUAGUUGGGUACAAUAGAAGUAUUUGCUUAGAAUCAAUAUUUAAGGUUGAAUUAUGGGCAGCUCUAGAUGGUUUAAAUGUGGUAUAGCAGUGGGGUUUUAUGAAAGUCAUGGUGGAAAGUGAUAAUGAUAUGGUUGUACAAUUGCGAAAUGAGGAUAUGGUUGACUCAUACUUGCGCUCUUUAGUUCAAAACAUCAAGGAGUUGUGUCGAAGACAACAGUAGAUCAUCGUAUCGCGUACCCCAUAAAAAGCUAAUUAAGUGGUUGAUUAUGCUGCCAAGUUCCCUACAAGAAUAAAACUUACUAGGCAGUGCUUUGAGAAUCAUAUACCUAAAGCAUGGAAAUUGCUUAGCAAUCACGUAACGAGUGCUCAAUAGAUGUAAUAAAUCUACAUAUUAUGAAAAUAUUACUUUUUUUUUUUCAUAAGCAGUGCUGAGAAAUUGAUAUGUCUUUUUCUUUUUAAUAUUUUACUAUAAUCUUAUAGAAAGUUUGUCAACCUGGGUUUAAAAAUUUUAUUAUCAGUGUAGAAAAUAUUUUCAGACACUUAAAUAAUAUGUGGUGAGUGAGGUGGGAGAUCCUUGUACGCAAUUGGCGGAGCUUCCGAUGAGCGGCUGGUGGAAGUUACCAUGAAACUUCCUCCCCUCUUUCCUCGUCCCUUCUCAAUUUCCAAUUAAUAAUUUCAGCAAAUAUUUCCUCUACGUUUCUUCAGUAAGAAUGGCAUGAAUCCGAUUUUGUCUCCCCCUAUCCACAACCUUUAUUAGCGUUUUCCUUCUUUUUUACAGAUUCAAUCCAACUCCCUUUCUUUUUCUUUUAAGAUCAUCUUCUCUUUCAUCACCUCCUAGCUAGGUUCAAACAGGUAAGAAUGGCAUGAAUCCGGUUUUGUCUCCCCCUAUCCACAACCUUUAUUAGCGUUUUCCUUCUUUUUUACAGAUUCAAUCCAACUCCCUUUCUUUUUCUUUUAAGAUCAUCUUCUCUUUCAUCACCUCCUAGCUAGGUUCAAACAGGUAGGCAUUCGAUCAAACAAUGGCUGGUAUGCUUCCUGGUGUUGAAUGUGCUAGAAGAAGACGGAUCCACCCCACGGGAGCCUUAUCUGAUUCACCAAGCCCUCCUCCUUAUCGCUUCACAAGGAAAUCCUCUUUUUGUUUGUAUACCACCAACCAGGAUACUCAUUCUUGUUUACAGGUACUUCCUCUUUUCCUAUAUAGUUCCAUCUCUUUACAGCGUUUAUAUUGUCUUGUUAUAGAUUGCAGUUACUGUAAUUGUGAAAAUUUAUUAACAGCAAUUGGUCUGUAAUCAUAUUUUCAUCAUGGCAGCAAUAUAAGAGGAGAUUAUAACUGAUAUUGACUUGAGUUUUAAUUUGGGAUGUGAAUAUAUUGAAGCAAAGGAGCAUAUUAGAUGAGGCCUGUGAAGAUGAGGAGCUGGGAGGGAUAGCAAGAGAAGCUAAGAAAAGAUUAGAUGAGAGGUUGAGAUCACAACCUAAGAGGUACUAGAAUGGCAAAUUAUUUAUUUAUUUAUUUAUUAUUUCAAGUCUCAUUUCCCCUUACUUUGGGCAUUGAAAAUCAAUCCAUCAGGCAAAAUAGCAAUGAAAAUGGGAUGAAAGGGGAGUUGCAGUCAAAGAGGAAGAGUGUGAGUUGGCCCAAACUGAGUUGGAAGAAGUGUUAAACUUGACUUGUUGAAUCAAAUUCCAAAGGUAUUCCAACAGGUUGUACAACUUUUCUUUAGUGUACCCAAGAUUACUCUACUGCUUCUACACCAGUUACAGUCUCUCAUUUUGAUUGUUGGGUUAUGUUUUUGGAGAUAGAUUCUAUUAUAGAGUUUGGAAAUCCAUGAAUGGAUGUUGUAUUUCUUUUUUUUGGCUAAAUUGUGUAAAUAUGAUAUGAAAUUAUCAAAUAUAUUAAUAUUUAAAUAUUAGUAUGAUAUGUGUAAAUUAUCCUUAAAUUUUAUGUUCAUCAUGGUAUGAUUUUAUAUUAUUUUAGGUUAUUCAUCGUUAUCUAAUUGAUGUGAUAUAUGUAUAUCCAAAAUAGAAAAUCAUGAAAGAUGUGUGAGUAUCUAUUAUUUAAGAAAUAUGCUAAUCAAUUAUAGAUAUUAUAAAAAUAAUAUUAUUUAAAAUAAAAAUAUUUAUAAUAAAAAUAAAAUAAAAUUUAAAUAAUGAAAUUUACAGUUAUGUCUCAACUUGUAAAAUAUCCAAAUCUAGAAACAUGACAUAUGUGUCACAAAUAAGGAUUAAAAAUAGGAUUAAAUUAAAUUUACUAAUAAGAGUUGAGUGCAAUUAUAAGGUGCAUUAUACUUCUAAGAAGAAAUUCAGGUGAUGGCAUUGUUGAAAUGAAAAACCGUAAAUUUUAAAAAAAAAAUAAUUUUUAUAAAUCAUAAAACGAACAUAAAAAAUAUUUUAAAAUUAAAAUGUCUCGUAAUUUUUGGAUCAUAAAAUGAUUAUGUAUAUUUUUUAAAUCAAUUUAUUCUUCGUAACUAUUUUUUUUAUAUAGAUCAUUAAAAGAUCUUCAUAACUAACUUUUUUAAGGGUGAUAAUUAACCUUAAAAAUAGUAUACAUGUAACUUUCAUUAAUUAAAAAAUUAAAAGUAAAUACUAUUUAAUAAAUUUUAAUUUAUUAACUAUUAAAUAAAUAAAAGAAAUCAUGCAGAAAAUUUCAAGCCUCAUUAUAGUGGGAGGUUUUAAUACUAGUAUUAUAUAAAAAUAUGUAUAUGAUAAUCUCCAUGAAUGUAAUGUGAAUGUCAUGUUAGUAACGUUAGAAACAUUAAAUUUUUCAUUUAUUUAGAAUGGUUUGUUAAACUAUACAAAUUUAAGAGUUAAAAAGAGACAAAAAUAAAUUAAAUGAAUGGCUAAAACAUUUUUUUAUAAAAUCGAAGGGUUAAAUAAAUAAUUAUAUCUUAUAUAAAAGUAUAAUCAACGCAUAAUUUUCUAAAUUCAUUAAAAUAAUAUAUUAAAUGCAAAUGGAAUUUAAAAAAAUUAAAACUUUUUUAAACUGGUAACUAUUAAUGUUUAAUUGGUGCUUGUUGAAUCCUCAAGCCUGUUAUAAAUUGAUUUCAAUAUAUUUGAAACCUCAUUUUAUCAUAGGGAUUGGAUCAGAUUGAAAUGGAUCAAUUUAGUUUUUAUAUUUUUAAAAAUAUCAAGUAAGGUCAAAUUUCAAUGGAGUUAACAUUUAAUAUUUAACGAGGUUAUAUUUUGAAAGCUUUUUAUGAUUUUGUAGAUGAAAUAUUUUGUUUAGAGUUGAACUAUAAAUAAAUAAAAAACUAAUUUUCGUGUCAUUUUUUAAUCAAUAAAUAUUAACGCUAUCCCAGUUUGGCUUUAUUUGAUUCUUUUUAAAAGUAUUUAAAAAUAGAGGGACUAAUUUGAUUCAGUCCCUAGAAUACGGGACUUCAGAGGUAUGUUUACCAUUAUAAAUUAGAAAAAGAUGAAAAGAAGAGAAAACGACAGCGUUGAAUAACAAAUAAUUGGGCAUUGCGUUUCUUGCUUCUCUCUUUCACUCUCAACGGCUAGUUUCAAGUUACCGUUUUAAGUUCUCCCCCAAGAUUCAAAAUCCAAUUAACAACCCCACCUUCUUCAGAUUUCUACACGUUCCUCAAAAAGAAAUUGUUUCUUUCAAAAAUCAAAGCACCGGCAACUAAAAUCAUCAAUCUAAAAUCCAGAUUCAACCCAUUUUCAGGCUCUCAUCAACAAAUCAAAAGGUCAAAAAUGGUGUACAGUUAUACCCCAACAUACUACUCCACCAUCCAUGAUUCCAUCACUUCACUUUGCAAGACAUUCCCUUUCUCCUUCAAAAAAAGAGAUUGCCUGCUGCUGAACUCAGGCUUUCCAAGCUUCAAUCUGAUAAUCUGAAAUGGCAGCAGGAUUCCUUUCACCAGAUACUCAAUCUCAUGGGUCUGCAUAAAGAAGGGAUUUUGGGUGAAGCUUCUCCACCUGAACUUGAACAGCCUGUUAUCUUGAGAGAUAAACUGCUCUUCUUGCAGGUAACUAUAAUCUCUCUCUCCUUUUUUUGUGCGUGUGUGUUAGUUGAGUGGGUGAAAUUAUUCUUCAAAUUUGAUUUCCUUUUGUUGUAGGAACUGCUUUAUGCAAAAUGUAUAUCUGAGGAGGAGUACCAUUCUUCAAAAAGGCCUUUGUUGCAGCGGUUAGCAGUACAAGGAGCUGAAAUCGAGACCAGAGAUUUAGUCGUUGCGAAUCCGAAAGAUUCGAAAGAGAAUCAAGAAGAAGAAUGGUCUGUGAUUGACUUGAAGGAUGAUAGAGACAAUGUGUUGCAUUCCAAUAAUAAAUCGAAGAACAACUCUGCCAUGAAUCAGAUCAAAGGAGCAGCCUCGGUUUUCGGGUUCGGAUCAUCCCAGAAGCCAAGUAAAAACAGAUCAGAAAAGAGCAUUUUCGAUGUGGAUUCAAAACCAUCAUCAUCAGCCUUUAUGGAGGGUAAGGAAAGUGAAACAAAAUCAAUUCUAAUGCAAGAAGAAGCAUUCCCAACCGAGUCUGUGAAGGAGAAUGGUGGCGCAAAGAGAAAACCAUUUAAAACCCUGUUUCAUAGAGAGCAAAGAGAGGGGCAUAAUAAUGGCCCUGGUUCAGAGGAGAAAGCAUCAAAAUCAGCAAAGAAACAAUGGGGCUUUGAUGGUUUCAAGAAAUGGAGGAGAAAUGAUUCAGAGGAUGAGACAGCUCCUUUGCCUCUCAACGAAAGAUCAGAUAGUGAAGCAUUCAUGGGGUCAUGCCAACUUGUUGCAACUCCCAUCGGAGAGGGACCAGACACGAAACAGAUUAAGAGGAAGCUGCUUGCAAAUGGAGCUCCAUCGGAUUUCUUCAUCGAUAAGGUCCAUCUAAUGUUGAAGAAAAGAAAAAAAAAAUGUUGUUCUACUUGUUGUAUACUAGUGUUAGCUUAUAUCAAAUAUCCACUUGCAGGUAGUAGGAGACAAAAUAAAGAAGGAGCUAUCACGAAUUCAAUCAGAGCUCUCCACCACAAACCCCAAUCUUAAAUUUUCGUAAGCAAAUUCUUUCCGUUAAUCCUUAAAUCCUAUGUUGCUUUGCAUAUUUGCCUAAGUUUUGUUGUGCUUCUUGUAAUUCCACUAGGGAUGAUCAAAUUGAAGCAAUUUCCACAACCCUUCCUGUGGACAAGGCUGACCUCAAAAAAUUCUUUCCCAAGUAAGGAUGCUAAAAAAAUCAUGAUUUUCUUAUACGGCCAAAUGAUGAACAUUUCUGUUUCUUAUUGUCUGUAUUUUUUUUGCAAUGUUGAAGGUCGUGGUGUGAUAGAUAUGGAGAGGUAGUUCUAGAUGUGGUGAAGAAAGAAUUCAGGGAGCAUGUAGGAGAGAUGGAAAACAUAAGAAAUGUUACCAGACAGAAGCUUAAAAACAACUCAAGGCGAUGGACUACUUUUGAUGAUGAUAAUGAGAAUUGUCACCCAAAUCUCUUUGAUCAUAAAAACCCAAAUCCUGAAUCAGCUGUCUUCCAAGAUCAUAACCCCUUUUGGAACCAAAGGCGUGGCUCUUCUUCUUUCCUGGGUUAAAUGUGAAAAACCAACAAUGCAACUGCUAUUAUUUGUGUUGUUAAUUUCUCAAGUUAUAUAUUAUGUAUUUAAGAUUGAACCGGUGCAUGAACUGUUAAAGAAGAACUCUGUUCUUCUAAGUAAUCAUACUGCCGUUUCAUCUUCAUUUUAAUGCCAAGGUUGAUGCCAUCCUUUCAAACUCAUUUUUAUUCCUGCUUGAUAAUAACCCAGCAAUGGUUUUUGAUUUGAUCUUCAUUUUAAUGCCAAGGUUGAUGCCAUCCUUUCAAACUCAUUUUUAUUACAUUAAAGAUGUAGCCAUCAAUGAGUAAAAUGCAAGGCCAAAAAGAUCCUAUUUCCUCAAUUUGCUAAACUUAAUAAUUCCACAUAGGCCACAUCUACGAGGAAAAAAAGAUGCUACAACAUGGUAAACAGGAAAUAAAUAUAGAUAUAACAUUUAUACAAGAAUCCAUUACUAUAUUUACAUGCAUAUAUGUACAGUUACAUCAAAGAGAUGGAAUCUCAGAGUUUGAGACAGAAGACUCCCCACCACCAUGACGAACAUCGCCUCUGCAAAGUGGGCACACUCUGCAAACCAAGGGUAAAAAAGAGGGAAAAAAAAAAAAGUUACCGAAAGAGAGGGAAAAAGAAAAACAACGCAUGGUGCAGGGGAAGUGUAGCAAUACCCGUGUAUCUCUUUGAGCCAUUUAUCCACACAAGACAUGUGAAACUCAUGCUGGCAAGGCAGAAUUCUUAUUUGGUCCCCUUCCUCAUAUUCACCCAAACAUAUAUGACACCUAUAUAUAACAGGGUCAAUAGAUGCAAUGUGAACAUAAUUAUUAAAAAGAAAGGCAAAACUGAGUAUCAUGCACCUUCAAUCUACAAGUAGUAACAAAGAAAGAACUUACUGUUCAACAGCAUCCCCGUCCUCAGCUACAUUUGCUUUUUUGUGACUUCUGAGGGGGAAAGAAUCAACUACAGAUUCGGGAGCCGGCGGUGAUACCAUGGAUAGAGAAAGUGAUACUGGUUGACGAUGUAAAACCUACAAAUUAUUAUAUGGUAAGUUAUGAAAUAAUAGAUCAACUUUUCACGGACUACAGGGACAGUAGACAAAAUUAUAGAAACAAGAUGAUUUGACAUUAGACAAGUGGAAAGAACAUGCCAGUUGCUAAAGAAAAACUACCUCAAAUAGAGCCUCAGCAAGCAUAACUAUUCGAGAUAUGCUUACACGAGCACCCGGCUCAUCAGUUAUCAGGGAAGAAUCACAUGAGCAAGUGCCAUCAGGGUGGAUUCCAGAUGGACAAAAUGUAGUUCGCCGAUGAUUUUCAUCAUGUCCACCAUGCAGCCUUAACCAAUUCUGAAAAGAACCAAAUGAGAUAAUUAAUAAAGGUUACCUAAGGGAACUAGGCAGGGCAAUGAGGUGGAGGGACAGAUAUUGCUUUAUCUCUCCCACCCCACCUUUAGAGUACCCUGUCACAUGAUACCAUCCCUGCCUCCAUGGAAGUUGGUUACAUCCAUACCCACUCUGCUCCACGCUUACCUCAAUUCUUUAAAAUAUAAUUUAAUUAUGAAUACCAUAUCUUAAAUUAAACUAUUAAUAUUACUCACUUUAAGCAAGACCGAUUACUACAAGUUUCCACUUUUACAUAAAAUAUGUAUAUGAACAUUUAAGGAUGUAUAUGAGAAAGUGUAAAAUAUAUAAAAGGAUAAAACAGUAAUUCUAUAUGCAGGGCAGCAUGGAACAAACUGGCCCGCUUUCAAACAAACUAUAACCCACCCACCCACCCCCCCUCCCCCUGGGUGCACUUUCAAAUAAAAAUUCAUCCAUUAAGGGCAGACCAGUGCAGAACCGAUAAUUUUGCCAUCCAAAAGGGAUCAGACUGACAAAAUAUUCUGACAUGAUUACAAUUAAGAUUAGAAUUAAAGCCUUCAAGGAUGCAUAACUGGAUACAAAAGAUGUCCUAAUUUCUAACCAAAAAAUUGAACGAGGCUCAAAGAACAAAGGACCAUAAGCACCACCAUCCAGGAAUACUAGAGCCAAGAUAAUUUUCAAAAGAAAACUAGUUAGUUAAAGCAAGAUCUACUAAAAGUAAGUUGGAUAACAUAUAAAUCAAAGUGCUUUGCAAUUAAAUACCUCUAGUCUUGAGUGUCGUCUUCGUUCAUUUAAUCUAUGAAUUCUACUGCUGAGGUAACCAGAAUCACCUGCAGCCCCAUCAUAAAAGAAAUCACCAUCGAAAUCAAGGAGCCAUCUGUUAUCAAAUCCUGGAUCAUUAUUAUCAUCUGUUGAAAGAAAAAUGGACUGGGAAUUAUUAACUCUUCUGGAACUGCGUCUCGAAAAAGCAUCCGAAAACAUUCUUCUGCUAUUCCUCCUGGAUUCACGAUUACUUGUAUCAGCAGUGCCACCUGAUAAAAUAUUGGAAGAGAGACUCACGAGAUCAACAUGAAGAACACUUCCAUCUCCCUGGCUCCUCUCCCUAUUAGAUAGGAGAAAUCCUAAACCUGAAGGCAUCACUUCUAUAAUGGAUUCACCUCCGAUGGAGUGAGAAGUCUCCGGUUCUGAGGCAUGAGGAGCAGAAGCAAAACCAGAGUUACGUACUGUUGUUACUUCACCCGACUCAUUCUCAACAGGUAUUCUGUGUGAAUUUGAAUCUUCAAGCCCUCGAGGAGACAAAAUACUUGGCUCAGGACAGACCUCAGACACACCCUUGUUUGCAUUUUCAAAUCUGACUGCACACUCAUUAGUCGAUAGAUUUUCUGAGACAGGAUCUGAAGACUGUUGUUCUAGAAAGGGAGUGCUAGCUGAAGUACUACUAUCCUUAUGAGAUUCACCGUGAUCAUAACCAGCAUCUACCUGAGAAGCAACUAACUCUGUAUUUUCAGUCAAGCAUUUCCUACAAUGACUAGUUUCUACAUCUCUAGAACCACCUGCAACAGAGGAAUUCUGAUUGGCUGCAGAACUGCUUUCAGCUGGAAUUCCAGUUUCACUAUCUAUGCUGCUAAAUCUUGUUCCCAUACUGCAUAUCAAAGCAGAUUCCUCCAAGGGACUUUGGACAAUGUUGCUAACUGGGUCAGAGUGAUCUGCCGACUUCACCAGAAUUUCAGCUGGAUAAUCUUCAAUCUACAACAAAAGAAUGUAUUGUAUCAUUCCCUGCAGCAUAUUCUAGAGCUUCCAUGUGAAAUGAUUAGAUUACAACCUAAAUACAAAGAAGAAAAGAUAACUUCCAACGCAUAAACUUGUUAAGGAACAUGCAAUGCACAAGACAUUUGCUGGUGCUAACACAAUUAUAAUUCACUCGACUCUUGUAUCCUCAAUGACUUCAUGGAGCUCUCUUGGUGACCCAGGUUUGGAGCAACAAUUAUGAAAUGCUCAACCACUGCCACAAAAAAGCUUCUCUUUCCGCCUCCUGUCUACAUCUUGGAACCGAGAGGAAAGCUAAAAAGUUAAGCUUCUUCAUGGAAUUUUAACUAAAAAUGAACUUAUCAAGUGCAAAGUUGUAUUGUUCAUUUUAAAUAAGUAAAGAAAAAAAAAGAAAGAAAGGUAAAAACACCAACUAAAAACAAUCUAACCAAGUAAACUUGCUAAAUUAAUACCAGCCUCCAAGAGUUUGUGUAGCAUAUUUAAGCUAGAGUGGUCUUAAUCCACAGACAAACUAUUCGACAUAUUACACUGCAAAAAGAACAUUGCAGUUCUAUUUCAGUUCUUCCCUCCAAAUAAAUGACACACUGACAACUAACCCUAAAAUAAAAUGAAAAUUUGCUUUUAAAAGAGUGAAAUUCAGAGAAAAAGACACUUCAGAAAUUUAAGCAAUGCACUGAUAGCUUAUUCAUGCAAGCGCAGCGGGCAAUUUUUUUUUUCUUUGGGUCAAAAGGUUAAGGGGAUAGUUGAAUGUGCAUAUUUAAUGCAACACCAAGCCAACAACCAGACAAGUUUAUUCUUUGUGGCAAGGGGGUUGCAAGAACCAGUCAAUAUUCUCCAAUCAAAACUAAAGGCCGACACAGCACAAGAACCAAAUCCUGCAAGGAACCAGAUUCCUCAUGUUCCCUUAAGAGCAUUUUCCAUUAUGAAGCUAUUGGUGAAUACAUAAUUGAACCUACUACUGGGGGAAGAGCAGGUCCAAAAUAUCAUAUAAGAAAGGCUGGCACUCAGCAUUUGCAUCAUUCAAACGUCCAUGUAUAAAACCUUCUCCCAGAACAAUAAAACAUCAAGUAAAGCACUAAUUAAAAUGAGCAACCAUUAAUUUUGGAAUUUUUAAAGAGAAGGCGAGCAAUUUCAGACAAUAAAACAAUAAAAAUGAUCAAAGGAAAAAAAAAAUCAAUGGAGGAACCCUUGACAUAGUUAAUUGAGCAACAUAAAAAUUCAACAAUUUACAAAUUGUAUAUAUCUAAGCAGAAACCUUAAUAGCUCUUAUCUAUCCCUUUUCGGACCAGAGGACUUAGGAAAAAAUAAAUCAAUUACCAUGCAACUUCAAGCCUGAAUUAAAGCCAACAAAAAAGGAUAGGUUUCUAUAUGAAUUACUAGAAAGAAGUGAUAUUUCAUGAAUUGAGCCAAACCCAGAUCACAAAAAUUUUUAUUGGACACUAAAAAGAAUAUAAAAAUAAAAAGAACAGGACCAUUUACUUUAUGAUUAAUAACUCCAAAAUUAAUAAAAUUCCAAUAUAAUUCAGCAGCCAAAUAACCAAUCUCAAAUAAGCCAUUAAAAAAAAUCAAACUUGUGAUAGAUAAUUACCUCAAGAGGAGCAUGAGAUGAAGAGGCACCGCAGAUGAAAAAAGAAGAGAGUCUGGAACGCCGUUUGGGGCGGCGGUUGAGUCUCCCCCAUGAUGGGUUCGAGCCUAGUCGGCUGCUACACGACCCCAUCCCAGCCCCCUUCUUUCUAAACCUCCUCCUCCUCCUCCUUCAAAGGCUUUCAAGAAAAAUAAAAAUUUUUCUAUGACUGAUAGCUUUAUUUUCUUCUUUUUGAAAGUGAAAGUCAAUAAAUGAAGAUAGAAGGAGAAGACCCAAUUCAAUGUUUGAAAAAUGACGGAGAGAGAGAGAGCGAGAGAGAGAUGAAUUAUUUCUAUGGGCGUACGUGUGAAUGGGGAAAGAAGAAAAGGGCGUGCAGAGGAGCGUUUGUGCUUCGGAUUUUUUCUUGGUUCAUAAGCUUUGGGUUUUGUUUUAUUAUACCCCUUUGGAUUUACAAUCCUCACAAUUAGCCAUCACCUGUCAUCUUAAUUCAUUAUCUCACAUGAAUUGGAUCUAUUUUUAAAACUUUUAAUUACUUUUAAAUUUUUAAAUUUAUUUUUUCUAUGCUAGUCGAGUUUUAGUUCAAUUGGCAUAAAUAUUAUUACUAAUACAAGAAAACUCAGUGUUCGAGUGCAUUAAAGUACAAUAUCUCCUAUAAAUAAAUUGAAUAACUGAAUUGUUAAAAAAAUUAUUUUAUCCCAAAAAAAACUCUAUUUCUAGAAUUUUCUAGAAUUUUUAUUUUAGAUUGACAGUAUGCUUAAUAAUUGUUUUUAUUUUUAUAUAAUAUAUAUAUGCUUAACAAAAAAAAAUUAUGUUAUUCUUUUCACAAACAAAAAACUACUAGGAAAUUGAGUAGUUAAUUCAAAAAUAGUUAAGCAUUGUAAGAGGAUGGCUGGAUGAUUAGAAUAAUAACUUUCACUUUUAUAGCCAAAAUAACCAAUUUCUAUAAUUACAGGAAUUUGUUUGAUUUAUUCCGACCGUAUACAGUUAAUAGGGGAAAUUACAUCAUUAGUCAUUCAAUUGUUAUGUAUUUUUUGUUUUGAUCACUAAAUUAUAAAAUUUAAAAAAAAAGCCUUUAAUUUUAUCACCAACGUUUUGUAUUGAUUUUGUUUUGGUUACUCUCAAUUAAAUCACUAAUAGAAAUAAUGAUAUGGUCUUUUUAAUUGUUAUAAUAGCACAUUUAGUCCUUAGUAUUUACAUAUUCUAUCCAUUUGAUUUUAAUCUUAAAUAAUUUAAUAAAUUUAAUUCUUCAUUUUUACAAAUUCUAUCAAUUUAAUCUUAAAUGCAUCUUUUAUCAUAAACACAUAAAAUUUUCAUGUCUAUCUUUCUAGAUUUUUAAAAGAAAAUUUUCCUAUUUCAAAAUAAUUGACAAUAAAUUUUAGAAAGAAAUUUAAAAUGGAAUCUUAAAUUUGGCACCAUUUGGCAUGAUCGAUGUUAAAAAAUAAUUGCGUUGAUUUUUUUUAUAGCAAUAAGUAUUUUCAUUUAUUUUACAGUUUGAGCUUAGUCUUAUUCGGACUGGGGUGGUACUCCGAUAAAACCAUCUCAACAAUAUUGACUCUAAGAUAUAAACUUGGCUGAAAACUUCAAAUACUUGGAAAAAAAAUCAUUUCCACUUCUUCCAACUACUUGUUGAUAACUGAUUUUUAAUUAAAUUAGAAAUAUUUUAUUUGGUCUCAUUUCACGUGAUGCUAGAGAUAAAUAAAUAUUGUAUGGAGAAAAAAAAAUAAAACUCGUAAUCAAUUAUAUUUGGCAUAAUGAGUUUUAGCCCUCAAACUUAAAAAAGAAAAAUCAUUUUAUUCAUCCAUUUAAUUUUUUUCCUCUUUUAGCCCUUGAACUCAGUAUUUUUUGUCAAAUCACCUAAAAUAGACAAAAAAGUUAACGUUUGUUAACUUUGUUGACCUAAUAUACAUGUGGAUUGACAUGUAGAUGACAUGUAAAUAUUUAAUUAAUUUUUGAAAUUUUAAAAAAUAUUAAAAAAUAUUUUUUAAUUAAUAUAUUUUUUUAAUAAUUUUUAAUUUUUAAAAUUAUUUUUUAUAUUUUUUUAAAAAAAAUUAAUUUUAAUUAAAUGCUUACGUGUCAUCCUAGACCUGCUCAUGGGUUGGGCUACCCGGCCUGACCCGAAGGCCCUCCCGAUGUGGGAGGGUUUGGGCGAAAAUAUAAACCCGAAAAAUGGGCUUGGACAAAAAAAUGAGGCCCAUUUAAAAAAUGGGUCGGGCCUCUGAUAAUGUAUUUUUGACCCGGGCCCGGCCCGAAUUCACUAAAUGACAAAAAAAAUUCUGCUAUUUUUUUUAAUGUUAUUUUCUUAUUGUUUUCCCUAUUUUGCUACCAUAUUACUAUUAGUUGCUCCUAUUUUGUUAUUAUUAUUUGGAUAUUGUAUAAAACUUAUUUUAUUAUUAAUUUUGUUAUUAUUUUAAAGGCAUUUGUUAAUUUUAUUAUUAUUUUAGAGGUAUUUACUUGUUAAGUUGCAUCUAUUUUAAUGCUAUUUAAGUCUACAUAUUUUUUAAAAUUUAUUUUCAAUUUGUUGGAAAAUAUUUAUUUUGAUUUUUUUAGUAUUUUUUAUGUAUUAUAUAUAUUUAAAAAUUAUAUAAAAUAAUAUAAAAAUAAAUACGGACGGGCCCAGGUUUUAGUAUUUUUAUUUGGGUCAGGCUUGGGCAAAAUUUUAGGCACAUUUUUUGGGCCCGGCCCAGCCCGAGCCCAAUGAAUGGGCCUAAAUUUUUAGUUUAGUCCGACCGAUGAGCACCUCUAUGUCAUCUACGUUGCAAUCUACGCAACAUCAACAAUGUUAAAAAACUUUAAUGUUUCCAUUCAUUUUGGAUAAUUUGACAAAAAGUACAAGUUUAAGGGCUAAAAAUGCAACAAAUUAAAUGGAGGGCUAAAAUGACUUUUUUUUGUAAAGUUGGAGGGUCAAAAAAAUCAUUACAUCAUUAUAUUUUGAAUUUUAUUUUUUACUCUCAUAAAAUUAUAUACGAGUUAAUAAAUAAUAUAUAGAUUUUUUUAGAGAAGUGUUAAAUAAAAAUUUGAGUUUUUAGAUAUUAUUAUAAUAAAUCAAAAUUUAAUGACAUCUUUAAUAUUACCAAAAACUAGUUUUUUAUAUAAACUUUUUUAAAGACCCUAAAUUUAAUGGUGUCAAAAAUUAUAAUUUUGAGAUCUCGUUUCUGUAAAUUGAAUUCGUAAAUAUUAAAUAGGUAUAUUCACGGAGUUAGUAUAUAGAUAAUUGAAAUUUGAUUAAGUAAUUUAGCCAAAAUUAUGGUUAAUUAAGGCUCAAGGACUAAAUUAUAAAAUUUUAAUCGCUAUAGAUUUUUAAUUAAGAUAAGGCUUAGGGACUUAAAUAUCAAUUAUUCAAAAGACUAAAAUGGUUAAUAAACCAAAUAUUAACAUGUUUUAGUGGAUGAUAAUGAUAAUAGGAAUUAGUUAAAUUAAUAGUAAAUUAAUUAAAUUUGUUAGUUAAAAUUAAUUAAAAGUUUGAAUAAUGAAUAAAUAACAAAUGAAGUGGGAGGAGAGAUGAAGUAUCAUCUUCUUCUCCCCUAAGCCAUAGAAACCAAAGAAAAGAAAACAAAAAAUGAAAGCUUUAAGUUAUUAAGCGUUUAGCCAUUCAAUUUCAACUAAAGACAACGUCAUGUCAUCAAAAAUGAAAGGAAAGACGAGAAUUGACGACGUGUGAUGUGAGUUGUCGGUUUGUAUUUCUAUGAUUCAUGAUUAAUAUAAUUAUUUUAUAUUCAUGUUAAAUUGCAUAAAUUGGUAAAAAGGUGAGUAUAUAAUGGUUGUACGGAUUAAUUUAUGGUGAUUGAUAUGGUAUAGCGAGAUAGAGGACUAAAUUGAAUAAAAUAGAAAGUAGCAAGAUUUAAUUGAUAUGUGAUAAUUGGUAUGAAAUUGCAUUGAAACAUGUUAUAUGAUGUGUUGGAAUGGUGAACUGAUGAUGAUUUGAAACAUGUUAUAUGAAUUGAACUAUGUGAUGAAAUCGAAAAAUUGGUUACCCUAUUAAUUGUUCGGGUAGAAUCGGAUAUAGUUAGCAUGCUAUAAGAUUAGAUUGUGUGUGGGUUUAUAUUUCGGUUUAGCCAAUGAUACACUUAUGUACCGAUAUAUUUACUUCAAUUUAUCCCAUGAUACACUAUAUGUGUCUAUAUGAUUGCUUCGAUUUAUCUGAUGAUGCACUAUGUGUGCCAGUAUAUUUUUUUCGGUUUCUUCGAUGAUGCAUUAAGGCGCCAGAUUGGUGUGUUGGUUGAUUAAUCUGAGUAUCCAUCUUUAGUUCAAUUUCGGUUAAUAGGGAAUGUAAAAUAUGAAUUGGAUGAAUGAUAUUAAUUAAUUGAAUUGAUAAUACAAUUUGGUAUUAUAAAAGAAAAAUUGAUUGGCUAUAUGGUAAUUGAUAUGAAAUGUGAUUGGAUUUGGUAUAUUGAAUACAUAUGAGUUGUGAUAUACGAUAGCAUAUGAAUAAUCACACGAAUCGGUUUAUAUAAGCCUUAAGGGCCGAAUUGAAAUUGAACGAGUCAAUAGACUCGAGAAAAAGAAUUGAAUUAACGAAUGACUAAAUAACAUCGGAUGAAAAGUGAGAUUGAAUGUCAUAUUAAUGCUAUAUGAGUAUAUGUAAAUGAAAAUGGAUUGGUUGCAUCUUAUUUUAGAAUGCACGAUAUCACAUGUUUAGUUUGAUUAUUCAUUAGAAUGGUGUAUAAGAAUGAAAUUUGAGUAUUCAAUUUGCAAAUUGAUUUAGUUGAAUUGUAGCAUAUUUGAAUUAAAUUCUUAUAUUGAAUAGGUUCAUUUUAUGACUUGAAUCAUGGAAAUACCACUGGUCUUUACUACUCAGUGUACAAUUUGUUUUCUCCUUGAGCAGGUUUAGGUUAAUCACGAGGUCUUGAGAAAUGAAUCCAACAUCCAGCCAAAGUUCCUUGGCUUAAUAAAGUUUGCAAAAUCUUGUUUUUGUUUAAAGUAUGGCAUGUAUCUAGGUUGAGUCUGUUUUUGGUUUAAUAAGUGAUCAUGUUUAUAUUAAGCUUGAAAUGGUAACUUGGAAAUGGUCAAAUGGUGGAUCUGUAUAUGUGAAUAUGGUAUUUGUUUUGGAUUGUACAAAAGGUUGCAAUAUUAAAACUUAUAUAUAUGAAUGUAUAUGUUAACAUGAAAAAUCAAUGGUAAUUGUCAUAAGUGUUUAAAUUAAUAUGUAUGAUUAGGUAAUAUAAUGGUAUAUAUGAUGUAUUAAUAUGUAUGAUUAGGUAAUAUAAUGGUAUAUAUGAUGUAAUAUACUAUGAAUAAACAUUUGAGAAUGGUAAAUUUGGUUGAAAUGGUGAUUAAUUGUGAUGAAAUUGUUAUCUAAGUGAAGCUUGUGGGUACCAUUUUGUACCAUUUAGAAAUAGGCAGCUACAUUCGAGACCAAAUUAGUAUGUUGCAUCGCGGUGAGGAACCCUCGAAGUUGCAAAGUCAACUUGAGAUUUUGAAAACAUUACAAUUUGGUCCUACUUCAAUCUCGGGUUAGUAGUAGAGCUUUCGUAAGCUCGUAUAAGACCCAGAAAUGAUUGUAUAUCAUAUUAUAUGCAUGUAUUGCUUGUAAUUAAAUGUAUCAUGAUAUAAAUUAAAUGCAUUUGACCGUAGUUGCUUCAACAACGAAUGUGACAUCCUGUAGCUCUGAUCUAACGAUUAGGUCGGGUACGGAGUGUUUCAUUUUUAGGGCAUGUUUGAAUGAAAAAUUUAGAGAAGAGAUUUCAUUUCCAUUCAUUUAAAAAAUGAAUUUGCUAAUUUAGGUAAAAUUAAUAGAAAAUUGUAAAAUUUAUAUUUAAGCAAAUACUAGUUAGGUGUUAAGGUACCCUAUUUUGUAUGAGAUUCCUAAUGAUCCAAAUUGUUUGAUUGAGGUUAUUGAAUUGACAUUGCAAUGAACUCGAUACAUGUUAUCAAGUUCAAUACACUUGCAACAUAUUUAAAACUCAACAACUAUGGGUGGUGAUUUUAGUUUUGUGGAAGUAUGACUCAUGGUUGUCAAGUGUGUGGUUUUAAAGUCUAUAAAUACAACCCAAAAUCAUUCCUCCUCCCUUUUUCCAACAACCAUAUUUGAACUCAAAACCUUAAAAUCAUUUCCCUGAUUCUUGAGUUCUUAAUUUAAGUGCUACUUGUUAGCAUUCAAUGUCACACUUACCACCACAGAUGUCCCACAAAAAUAUCAUAAUCAUUUAGGGUUCGCUAGACUAAACCCUACUCGAAAUUAUUUAAUAGUUAAAGGAAAAUUAUUCAAAUUUUAUAGGGUUUAGGGAAAUGGUUUAUUUCCUGGUGUUACAAUUUUUAUAUAGUGAAUUUGACAUCUACCGAUUUGAUAGAUUCUUUCAUUUGGUAUGUCAAAUUUAAUAACAUCAUAACAACCUAUACUCGACCCGAAUCACCAGAUCCAGACAUCGGAUGAUACAACAUAUAAACACUUAGGCAAAAAAAAUUUAAUUUUACAAACGACGUAAAAGUAUUCUAAAACAUACUUCUUAUUUCAUCUUGUACUGUUCUAAAAAUAAAAGAGGAUGUUUAAUAAUACAUUAGAUCUUCAAAAUCAGUAUAUAACAUUACAAUUUAAAACUUUGUUAAAGAUGGACUUCUUAUGGCAUAGUGUAUUAAGCGUUAUAUUCCUAAGGUGCCCUCUGUAUGCAUAACAUCGCAACUCGAACUGCUAUAUAGUUAUGGAUUGGUCCCUCCUGGCAUACGCUAUCUUAAAGCGAAACCUGCAACAUAAACAAACACUUGUAAGUUCAAAUGAACUUAACGAGUUUCAACCCAGAUUACAUUGAAACAUUUUUUGUUGAAUUCCUCAUCUAAAAGAUUAUGGAUUUCCUUUCUGCCUUUGGCGAAAACUUUUUCUAAUAUCAGCCCAUACAUAUACGCCAAUAUUCAUACUUGACCAUCUACACAAAGAUCUCAUAUUAGGCAAAAUUUAAAUUUCAUCACUCAACACAGAUAUCAUAUUAUUCUUGGAGAACGAUUACAUUCCUCAUAAAGAUAUUUAUACAAAUCUACAUUCAACAGGCUUUCACACAAAUAGAUGUUGAAUACUUCCCUUAGACAAUACGCACAGAUGUUACUCUUGGCAGAUUCUUAUAAUGACUGAUCUUUUAAGGUGAACUUCUUGCAAAUCCUAUCUUGGCAGACUCUCAUGCUAAAUUUGGUAACUAUCAGAAUACUAGUCAGAUCUUGAUUCAACCUAGAAUACAACUUAUUUGGAUGAAUAAUACAUUCUAAGUCAUCUCAGACAAUCUUAUUUCAUAUCAUGAGGAUGCUUUGAUUUGACGGACAACUUAUACUUUAGAUAACCUUUUUAUAUACAACGUGAAACACUAAGAUUUGGUGAAUACCAUGGAACGUAAAUAACUUCCUUACAUAGCAUAGGCAAACUCAAAUCCGACGAACACUUAUACUACUCAUACUUACGAAUAAGCCAAAUUUCCUGUACCGACGGAACACUAUGAUGGAUUCACCCUUCAGAAAUAUUGUUAAGAACUCUUUAAGAAAUGCCCUUAGGUCAUAUUCACAUUUCAUCACAAGACUAUCCAAAUAAAGAUGUUUUCAAACUUAUCUAGAUCUCUACCACAAAGUCAUCUAGUGAAGAAGUCUCCAAACUUACACUAUUUCACCACAAAGGCGAUUAUCCAGAUCUCACCUCAAGGGCGUUACAGAAUACGCCACAUAGGCAUCACAAAAUAUGCCACAAAGGCUUUACAAAACAUUACGUGUUUACUGCCUCGACGGACUAUCUCAAAUGGUGCCUUGGGUUUCUCUCACAUGUCGUGCUCUAUCAGUCUGGUUUACAUUUUACUAGAGGCAACAUUAUGAGUAUUCUCAUUGUCGUAUAAUGCCAUGGGUCUCUACCACAUAGUCUUACACAUAUUUUCAUAUCAUGAUCUGUCAAUCUAGUUAGCAAUGUAUUUGCCCUACCGAAGGCAUUGCAAAUGGUUGUGUUACUCAUUUAACACAGAACACACUUAUAUAGAUUUAUUUACACACUCAUAACAACUUAUACCACACAUCAUCUUAUUUUUGCAAUAACUCAUACACCUCAUUUGUCAUCAUGUAAUAACCUUACCAUACUUCAUGCACUCAUCAGCUAUUAGAGUGGACAUCAACAUAUGAAUAACCAAGUAUAAAUUAAUAUCCACGAUUCAGGUUAGAGACUCACAUGAAACUCACAUUUACUAUAGCUCGGAGUUCCAAAUUCGUAUUUCCCGAACCAGCAGCAAUAACUGCUUAAAAGAACAUGAGAUAACCAUUAAAAUCUCAGUUACAGACAGUUUACCAGUAUAACAAUUACAUACAACCCCAUGCAGGGCCUUCUAUUCACUCUCUAUUAUAUUUAUGCUUCUUAACAUCCUUACUCUUUCAGAAUCAUAACAUACAGAACUGUCAAACUUACUAGGAGGUUGAAAUAUCCACCGAUUACCCCCAAAACCCCAGCUUCCAGUUUAAUGAAGAAAAAAAUAAUAUUUUAAGUUUAAAAGAAAGAACCAGAGUGUGGAACAGAAGGAAGAAAACCCUUUGGAUGUUCCAUUCAUACCAUAUAUAUAUAUAUACUCAAUUCCCCUUAGUGGAUAUUGACAAGUGUCAAUUGUAUACAUAAAUUGUCUUUUAAAUGCCUUACAAAAUCUGGAAAAAAAUAUGAAAAAUAAUAUAAUGUAGAUGUUUUUGACCAGUCAAUCCAUUCAAUUGACUCCUAGCCAAUCACGUUAUAGAACCCACCUUGCACAACAUUUGAGCAAACUAGGAGUACCAUUCCUUUGGCGAUAACUCUCAUAAGACAUGUUCUUAAAGAAGAUUUAAUCUCCCAAAAUUUUCUCAUACACUUAGUAGGCGUUUCAUACUCAGUCAAAAAUCUGAGGUGUACUCUUCGUUUUCCGUACUCUUCCUUUAAUUAAAGAAUACCUAAAGAUGAAAUCCUUAGAUACUUCUACGGAGGGUACUUUAUGCUCCAAAAUUUAAUUUGUCGGGAGCUUGUAAAAUGCCGAACUAUGUUACUAUAGUGCGCAAAAAUAGGUAACCUUCAUAUAUAUUUGCCUUCUUUACGGAUCCGCCAAAUUUAGGGUGUGACAAACAUGCUUCAACAUCGAGACACCGUUGUUAUCAACAUUGAGAGAACAUUUUGUAAUAAAUGGUAUAUGAAAUGUGCACCAUCUAUUUUGAUUCAACUCAGAGUCCACAUCAAGAUGUUCUUGAUGUUGAAGUUAACAAUAUUUUCGUAUCAAAUCUUUAUUGAGUGGAAAAUUCCCAACCACCGUCAAACCCUGCUGCUUUGACAUGAAACUGACAUUCAACUCAUCUAACACUAAGGGAACAUGUCAUGAGAGGAUGAUGUACCAACCAUUGAAACCUAUUUUUUUUUAAAUAUAAAGUGUGAUGUUAUAAGAAAUAUAAAUGUGAUGUUGUAAGAAACCAUGAGAUUUAUUACCUCUUUAGACAUAAUUUUUUCAUGUCAAAAUAUUUUCAUACAUAAAAUAUAGCUUUGUAAUUAACAUAUUUUAAAAAAUACCAUCACAUAGUUCAAAUUUACAUAAAGUUUUUCCAAAUAAUUAACAAAAAAUAUCAUUAUUAGUUGUUUCUAUACAAUGAAUGAGUUUCACAUCCAAUUUUAACUCAAAUUUUGUCAUGAUGGAAGCGGAGCUUAAAUUGAAGCUUGCUUGUCACCAUUAUAAUCUGUUUCACAUGUUGAUAGAAAGAAAUUAAAUUAUAAACCUAGGUGGCCUUUUAAGAAUAAUGAUGCAGUGAAUGGAGAACUGAUGUGUGUAUGGGUUUUUCAGAUCAAAUAGUUGUGUAAACUUCAAAUUUGUUAGUGUCACUUAUAUCCUUGAUGUUAUAAAUGAUGAAGGAUGCGCAUUGUCAUAACUAAAUCCUUCACCAACGUUAAACGAGGAAAAAGAGAGGUUGGGUCAGUAUGACCUAGUUGGGAGCUUCGACGUGUGGCUCCAACUUUGGCUAUGGUGGAGAGUUUGCUUAACCAUGACCUUACCAAUAAGCUUAUUAAUGGUCAAGUGGUACAAGUUCCCUAACUAUUGAAUAUUCUCCUUCCACAUAGAAUCGUGCUUGGCCUAUCUACAAAAGCCAUUGCAUAUAUGCCACAGAGACUUGGAUAUUAUCAUCCUGGAUAAUUUCCUCAUAGAUGGAAUAAUAAGCUCAUUAGUCCUAAAGAAGAACCUAUUAUGCAUGCUCAAUUAACCUAUAUUUAUCCUACCCUCUUAAAUUUAUCCUUCGAAGCCUAUAGAUCACUCAAAAUAUCUUGCAUCAACUCAAACUAUCGUUUCUCCCGUUUAAGGUGUUCCCAAUUUAUAAUGUGAAAACAAAUGAUGAAAACAAAUGAUGGGCACAUAGGCCUUAAAUAACACAUAGUGCUCUUAGGCUUAUCCAAGUAGAACGACAAAAAUUGCAUUGUCUAAAUAUAAUAUCCAAAAAAACUGCAAAUAUAUAAACAAUCAUUACGAUUAUAUUCAUUAGUACAUAUAACCACUUACAUUGGAUGAUAAUACAAAAUCAACAUACCUUUUAAUUGGCUCAUCCAUUGGUUUCUCAUCAUAUCCAAGUAAGUUUUUUAUUUUUUUAUUUUUUAUUUUACAAUAAGUAUGAUCCAAGUGACAUCUAAAUCUAUUCAAAUAUUCAAUGCAGUAAUAAUUAUAAAUAUUAGUCAUUCAAUACAUUCUCAGAUAUUAAAUAUGACUAUAUUUUUACCUCAGGCUGAGAAGGGAUGGACACUAACCAUGACAUCCAUAUAUAUUAUCAUGUUUACAGAAGUAGACAACAUUUAUUCAUUUCAUCAUUUGGUUCUCGAGUCACUCUACAAAGCUUCCUAUACAAAUAUGCCAAUGUUGUUAAACUCCAGCUGAAUGUAUCAACCACAUGAAAAGGCUCUAAUAAAGGAAGAUACAUGCAAUGUAUCUUGUUGCCAAACAACAUUCCUCUUACUAUCUUUGGCAUAUCAAUCCAUCUCCUCCACAAUUGCACGUGUUGGAGGGACAAGGACAAAAAGUCUUUCCAACUAUAUACAUUUCACCAUUUCUCAUCCAAUUCCUUCUCCUUCAUAAACAACACAUGACCCAACAACCAAUAACACUCUAAUCAUGCGUUGAUGCUGCUAGCUCCAAUUACUAUUUACCUAUCAGUUUGAAGGUUGGUUAUUAAAGUGACAUCUUUUAACAUUAUAGUCGCUUCCCCAUAUAGAAAAUGGAAUGUAAUAAUUUUUUGCUUCCAUCUUUCUAACAAGGCGGAAAGUAAAUUUGGUAUUGUUAAAUAUGACUCCUAUUUUCAGUCAAAUUUGAAAAAUAGUCUUUCAGUUAAACUCUGUUUACUUGUUUCAAUCAAACACUGAUUAGUUUAGAUUAUUUUAUUAUUUGAUCUAUGAAUUUAGCCUAUAAAUAGGCUCUUUUACUACCUUAGAAAACACACCCAUUAGAGAUUAGAACUCAUAACACAUUUAGAGAAUUUUGUGUUUACGUUUUGUGGGUUCUUUGUUUUUGGGUUUUCGGGGUUUAGUUUUUAUCUCCAUCUUUUGUACUCUUCGUUCUUUUGCCAUUAUAGUAAAAUUAUCUUUGCCCGUGAUUUUUUAUCCUCUUUGGAGGGGUUUUUCUACGUUAAAUUUGUGUGUUUAAUUUCUCAAUUUAUUCUGCUAUUUUCUUGUUCGUUACUUAAUCGGGUUAAAAUCCUAACAAGUGGUAUCAAAGUUAGUUCAAUUUUCAUAUAUCAGCCCGUUCAGAAAUGGCAAUAACAAGGUUUGAAAUUGAGAAGUUCGAUGGUGAGACAAAUUUCAAUUUGUGGCAAGUUCGGAUGAUGGCAAUUCUAGUUCAAUCAGUCUUGAAAAAGGUUGUUAUCAGGAAAAAGCCUGAGAAUCUAAAUAAAACAGAAUGGGAAGAGCUUGAUGAAAAGGCUUUAUCUGCAAUCCAGUUGUGCCUCACGAAUACGGUAUUGCAGGAGGUAUUAAUGGAAAAGACCUCAUCUGCCUUGUGAAAAGGUUAGAAACUCUUUAUGCGACUAAGUCUCUGGCUAACCGUUUAGUAUUGAAACAACGUCUAUUUACGUUUCGCAUGAACGAAUGUGAGCUUCUUAGAAAUCACAUCAGUCAAUUCAUUACUCUUUUAAAUGAUUUAAAGAAUGUUGAGGUUCAUAUUGAUGAUGAAGAUCAGGAUAUGCUAUUAUUGUGCUAUUUACCCCCUUCAUACAAGUCUUUCAGGGAGACCCUGAUUUAUGGCAGAGACAAACUCUCGUUCGAAGAUGUGAAGGGUCAUUUGUUAAGUAGAGACAAACUCGACAAUGAGCUUCAUUUGGAUAGCAAGACAGAUAGACAAGCUUCCGUUUUGGUAGCAUCAAAGAAACGAGAUAAAAUGUGUCGCUAUUGUAAAAAGUUAGGUCACGUCAAAGCAGAUUGUUAUAAACUGCGAAAUAAAAAAGCUGCUGAGAGCAACGAGGAAGAUGUAGCUGGUGCUAAUUUGGCCUAUGAAAAUGGGGAUGAUUUCUUGUCAGUUUCAACAAGUGAUAACACCAAGCUCACGUCCAAGUGGAUCCUAGAUUCAGGAUGUUCUUUCCACAUGUGUCUCAAUAGAGAAUGGUUCUCCACAUAUAGUUCGAUUGAAGGUGGAAUUGUGCGCAUAGGAAACGAUUCAUCUAGUAAGGUAAUUGGUAUUGGUACUGUUAAAAUUAAGAUGCACGAUGGGAUGAUUAGGACACUUUCAGAUGUCAGGUAUGUACCUGAUUUACGAAAGAAUCUCAUCUCCUGAAGUAUUUUAGACUUGAAAGGAUGCAAAAUCAACAUCGAGUUGAGCAGUAUUAAAGUGUCUCGUGGAGCUCUCGUUUUGUUAAAAGGUAAAAGAACCGGCAGCCUUUAUAUUCUGGAAGGUUAUACAGUGACCGGUGAAAUCGGAUGUCCCUCGUCCAUUACGGAGUUGAAGUCAACUUGUUUGGAGCGGAGGCAACUUGGUCAUAGGAGGGAAAAAGGUAUGACUGUUUCGUUGAAGAAAGGUUCUCUUUUGGAUGCAGGUUUUGAAAAGUUAGGGCACUAUGUUCGUGAAAAUCAGACCCGGGUUAGUUUUGAUUUGGCAGUGUACAGGUCGAAAGCUAGAAGUAUUCUAGUUUCUAAGCACAAAUUCGACUCAGUUAAUUCCCUGCAUAGUUCAAGAUAGGCUCGUGGCGGACUUUGGCAAAGAUGGCGUUGUGGAAAUAUGAGUCAAGGUGGAGAUUUGUUAAAUAUGACUCCUAUUUUCAGUCAAAUUUGAAAAAUAAUCUUUCAGUUAAACUCUGUUUACUUGUUUCAAUCAAACACUGAUUAGUUUAGAUUAUUUUAUUAUUAUUUGAUCUAUGAAUUUAGCCUAUAAAUAGGCUCUUUUACAACCUUAGAAAACACACCCAUUAGAGAUUAGAACUCAUAACACAUUUAGAGAAUUUUGUGUUUAUGUUUUGUGGGUUCUUUGUUUUUGGGUUUUCGGGGUUUAGUUUUUAUCUCCAUCUUUUGUACUCUUCGUUGUUUUGCCAUUAUAGUAAAAUUAUCUUUGCCCGUGGUUUUUUAUCCUCUUUGGAGGGAUUUUUCCACGUUAAAUUUGUGUGUUCAAUUUCUCAAUUUAUUCUGCUAUUUUCUUGUUCGUUACUUAAUCGAGUUAAAAUCCUAACAGGUAUCAUUUCAAACAUUAUUAUUGUAGAUAUUGCAUAUAAACAACACUAUUCAAGCAAUAUUGGAUACAUCAUAAAGCUAUGGGAAGUUUAAACUAUGUCGAGUAGAAACAACUCGAUUUCUUUGUUAUUCAAUAAAUCACCAAAAAAAUAAUUUUACUAAAUCUUAAAAAUAUUUUUGCAAAUAUAAUAAAAUUUUUAAAAUUGAGUUGAAUUUUUUUUCAUAUUAAUGACAUGAUUUGCUAGGUAUUCUUCUUGAAAACUUAAAAGGACAACCCUUUUUUAGAAAAGAAUAAAAAAUGUCAAGUUUUUGACAGAGUGGGAGAUUUAGAGUUUGAUUUUCAAUAGGAAUAAAAAAGGAUAAAAGGAGUGAGAUAUUUAUAAGUGAAGACCUCGACAUCCAUGGAUGUCAAAGUCUUAGUAUUAAAUGAGUUAAUUGAUCCAAUAAAUAAAUACCAUAGUGAAAAUUCACUAACUUGAACUUAAUAUUCAUGAAUGUCGAAAUCCUACACACUAUAUUUUGCAAUACUUUUAGAAAAUAAUAUUUGAGGAUAUGUUUUUGAUAAAUAAUCAAAAUUUUUACUAUGGGUGAAAAGGUAAAAAAAAUUAAUUUUACAAUUAUAUACCAAAUAAUAUAAAUUUAGUCACAUCUAUUAAGUUGAUGAAAAAGGAAAAAGCAUAAAAACUUAGUUUGGAUUUAAAAUUAUGUGAAUGGGUGAAUUAGGGUUACUUUUGAAGUUUAAUCUUAAAAACUGUUUUAGAAAACAAUUUAAAAUUUUAAAGGAUUAAAUAAUUUCUUCGAAAUUUAACUGUAAAUUAAUUUCAGCUGCUGCAUUGUCCCAUUGUUUUUUAACUAUUGCUUGCUGUAAUUUAUCAAAAAGUUAAAUUGUGUUGUAAAUUUUUAUACAUUGAGGAAUUUUUAGAUUUAGCCUUUAUAUUUAUAUAUUUAAAAUUUUAGAAAUUAAUUUUUUCUAUUUUUUUAAAAUUUCAGUCUAGUCAUUAAAAUUAUAAGUAUUUUUUAUUAAAUUUACUGACUUAGAUUUUGAUUAAGAUGCCCUCAUAUGAUAUGUCAUAUGAAUGACAUGAUAUAAACAUAAUAAGUUGAUAAAUUUCAACAGAAACUAUUAACGAUGUUAGUAACUGAGCUAAGAUUUUUAAAUUAAAAAAAUUAGGAAGAUUGAAUUUUAACUUUUAAAUUAUAUGGAUUAAAUCUUAAAUUUUAUAUAAAAGAGGGACUAACAACAAAUUUUAACCAAAAGAAAAAGAAAAAAUUGCUAUCUUUAAACAACAGGUGGAAGCACUGAGGAGAUGACGUGUAAAAUUGAGCAAGCGCAGAUAUUGGAGGGACGGUGGGUGGUUGAUGACUAUCCUUAAACCACAAAUUACACUUUUUGGCAUAUUAUUGACGCUGAUGCCUGUUGCCUUAACCCUUUUCAAUUUUCAUUCACAAUCUUACACAUUUCUUUCACUUUCGCCUUAAAUUUCAUAUUUUAUGUAUAAUGUUAUAUACCUUAUAAAAACGAAAGCUAUGUCUUCAUUAAAUAAUUAAAAUGUUUUUACGACUUUGAUAAAGAAAUGCAUGGGUUUCAACUUUCAACUUCACAAUUAUUUUAGUAUUCAACGUUGAAUUUUUUUUUUGUUUUUAUAUUGUAUUUUGAACUUUUUUUUAUUAGUCCCUAAACUUCAUAAUUAUUUUUACAUUAAAGCUAGAACUUUUUUGUUCAAGUUAGUCCUUCAUGUUUCCUUAAAAGAAAGUUUAACCCAAAAAAAGUUUAGACCAAUUUGGAAACAAUUGCAAGUUUAGGAACUAACUUAGAUCCUCCAAAAUGUUCAAACUUUAAUGUGAGAGCAAUUACCUAAUUCAGGUCCCAAAAAAUGCAUUAACCCAUUUUAAUUUUAAUAGACAUCAAUGUCCUAAUAAUAAAAUACACUAAUUUUUUUUCUCUUAAUGUUGUUUUGUGAUUCAUAAAAUAAUCUUUUUGUGUUCACGACUACUCCUCCCGAUAAUGUCAAUUUUAGAAUUCCAACCUAAAUUUUGUUUUUGAGAAUACAAUGUAAUGUACCCUAAAAUGUAUCUAAAAACAAGAUAAUAAAAUAUUUAUGGGUAAGCUACACCCAAGGUUACUAAACUAUUAGUAAGUUUAUGUUUUGGUCACUCAACUUUAAAAAAAGUUACAAAAUAGUCAUUAAAUUAUUCGAAAGUUUUCAUUUAAGUCACUGAAUCGUUAAAAUUGUUGUUAUAUGACAUUCUUUAUUUGCACUGCUGCACCAAUCAAAAGCUUUUCCAAAGUUCAAUUUUGUUUCAUGAAACAAUUUUAAACAUUACAAAUCUGCAAACCAAAAUCCAAACAACUUUUUUCUCCGACCUCUAACAUUGGCUGUCAAAUUGACUUGAAUUUAAAGUAUGUUCUUCUACUCAUUGAUUGGUACUGAUCUACUAUACUAUACCGAUCGUCAAAUCGUUGCUUAGAGCUCACUAGCUGGAUCAUUUUUUUAAAAAACUUAAUAUCUUAGUGACUUAAAUAAUAAAAAAUAACAUUUGAAUAGUUCAGUGUCCAUUUUGUAACUUUCUAAAGUUGAGUGGCUAAAACGGAAACUUGCUAAUAAUUCAGUGACCUUGGAUGGAAUUUACCCAAUAUUUAUAACAAUAUAUAAUCGUUUAUUUCACUUGAAGUUGGAGGCACAUCAAAACAAAAGACGACAGAGGAGAAAGAGGUAAUUGAUUAGGUGAUAGCAGGAAGAUGCAGGGCCAUAGGCAUGAUCAACCAAUCCACCAAGCCCAUCACUCACACGUAGCGCCACCUCAUGUACCACACCCAGCGCCACCGCAUGUAUCAAAUCACCCGCCCCCAGGGCCGCCACCUCCACAGCCUUCAUAUGUACCAGCGGGUCCUGAUCCACCUUCAGUGCCUGCAUAUGCACCACCAGGUCCUCCUCCUCCACAUCACCACCAUGGUCCACCACCACCUUCUGUGCCCGCAUAUGCACCACCUGGUCCUCUUCCAUCACGCCCCCAAGUCCCCCCUCGGCCACCUCAGGAGCAAGGCUGCUGUGUGAUAAUAUAAGUAAGAUUUGCAAAUGUAGUUGAUGUUGACAUUAAUUAAAUAAAGUAGUGUUAAUUUUACUAAGUUGGGAUUCAAAUAUUAUUUAGAUAGAAUCGGCUUUGUUUUUCAUAUUUGUAUGUAUGGUAAUGGUAAUGGUAGCUUCAUCAAGCCCUUCUCCUGUGGCAUUUUUAUGGUAUCUUGGUCUUAAUAAAAUGAAUUAUAAUUAGUAUGGUAUUGCUUCCAUUUUUAUAUUGCUUUAUAUCGAUUCAUCCGAUUGUAUUGUAUUGAUAACAUUUUGAUUUUUUUUUUCAUUUUUGCGUUUUGAUUUUCAAGCCAAUUUCAUAUAUAUACAUAUAUAUAUAUAUAUUUAUCAUUUUAAUGUUGUUUUAUAUAAACUUGAAAUAUUCCUUCUUUUUUGUAUAAUAGCAAAAACAAGAAGACAAAAACAAAAAUAUAAUUAUUGAGAACCUAAACUAUUGUAGGGCCAACUAUAGGAUGAUGCGUAUGUUUGUGAUGCCAUUUUGGCCACUUGUUCCACUCAAUAUAUACGUUAACGAGUGUGGAGCGGAUGUUUUUGUAGUUUAUGAAAGUUUUAAUUUGGAGUUUUUAUGUUUUCUAAAUUUUAAAAGUUUAGAUAAUAUUAAAUUUACUAAAUUAAAUUAUGUUAUUUCUAAAAUUUAAUGGGACAAACAUAUUAUUAUAUGUAUAAUAUUAUGUGAGGUUGUUAUUUUUAUAUAUUAUUUAUUAGAAAACUAGUUAAUAGAUUAAUGAUUGUUAUUUAUAUCAAUACUAAAAUUUCAAAAGUCGAAAAGUAUAAGGAUUUAAAAUAAUUUAAUUAAAGAAUAUGAGCAAACCCAUAAUUGCAUGUACAGUACAAAAUUAGUAAUUAAAUUUCACUAAAUGAACUUAACUAAUACUAUUUGGGUUAUGACUAAAAUUCCAAACUUUAAAAAGUACAAAAUUAAAAUUGAUUAAAUUAAAAUAUAAAGACUGAAAUUGAAAACCUCACAAAAUAUAAGGAUUAAUAGCCGAAUUUAUUCUAUAUCCUCGUUUAGAGGUUGAAGCUCCACGGCACUAUGAUUGAAUAAGUUGCGCAGGUGUAGGAAAAUAUGACAUUAUUUCUACAUGGAAUUCCAUAUAGUCCAAAGAACACAACUGUAGAAUGGUUAUCCUUAAGAGCAUUCUUAAUAACCUCCCUUCUCAACCAUUGUGGUGUCUAUUGCACAUUGUGGCUGUGUUGCUAGCUGUCGUAGAAGUCUAAAUGGUGAGUGCACUCAAAAUUUAGCAUCAUAAUUAAGCUAACUUGCAAACAAUUCUAUUAGAAAAGCCCUUGGAUAAUAUUAACUCAUUAGUCAUUAUAGCCCAUACUUCACCUUCUUAUUGACUUAUUCCAAGAGCCAAGUGUACAAGUGACGAUUCUCGUAAUGUAGAACCUGUAAAUCUUCAACUCCAAAUAUGUACAAUCAAAGUUCAAAUCAAAAACCAUACAAAUUUAUAUAAAACAAUUUGAAUAUGGUUUUGGUUCAAAUAGUAAAAUUGAGUUAUUAAAAAAUGUGAUUUGAUGGGUUUAAAAUUUAUGAUUCUCAUCAUAUGUAUGUAUUUUUUUAGAUUCGUCGGCAUAUAUAAAUACUAUCAAAAUAAUAUUUUCUUUUGUAAAAGAAUGGGGUUUUGGUCAUUUUACACAUUAGCGUGUGGUUUUUUUUUUUAUUUCUCAAGGUAUCUACCAGAGCGAACUUAGUAACUAAUCAUUCGCAUUCUAUCUCGAUUCUCUAAUAAUGAAACUAAACGAGAAUACUUGCCUAAACUAUAUGAUCCUUUCUUGCAUGGACCCUACCGCGGAAGAAUCAAAAAAUGGGGUUCCCCUUUAAGCAUAAAUCAAACUUAUAAAAAAAAACACGGAUCCAUUUUGGAUAAAUAAGAUUCAUGCUUUACUUCUUACUACUGAUUAUCACGACCUUGAACAGACACUAGAUACACUCAAUAUAAAAUCAUUAGCAACAGAAAAAGAACUCUCUUUAUUGACAUUGACAGAAGAUGAACAGGGAAAUAUCGAUUCCGAGGAUCGAGUCAAAAUUUUGAAAUUUUUAUUCAAUAUAGUUAUAACUAAUCCCAACAAUCAAACAAUUAGAAAAAAAUCUAUUGGAAUAAAAGAAAUAAGUA
rnacentral:lncRNA from 1 species